rnacentral:lncRNA from 1 species
AAAAAAAAAAAAAAAAAAAAAAAACUAAACAAACUAGUUAAACCCACAAAUUCAAAACCAACACCCCAAACAUAAGUAUCAGAAACUCAAAUUUUCAAAUCCUAUCCCAAACACAGACAUUUGUAACUUUUAGGCAUCAAAACCCCAUCAGAUAAGCCUACAGACGUUUAAUUUCUAGUAAUUUGAUUUCAAACCUACACACCAAAUGUUAUGAGCAUGCUUGUUCAGGGCGUUGUUUGCCUAUGGCCGCAUGCCAAAACAUUCUCAACCUGCCUUAUCCUUUAUGUUUUGUAUUUAGUUUAGUUUAGUCCAUUGUUUUCCUUUUGCUGUUGUUGACCUUUGGGUGUGACAUUUCGCACUUUUCCUAUGUAAGCAUGUCAAAUCUAAAUAUGUUUAAAAUGUACUAUAAGGGAGAUCCACUAGUUGAAUCCCUGACCAAGUUUUGUCGUACUCUUUGCAAUCUAAGCUUUCUUUGCAAUUGGCAGUCUUCAAUGAUUUUUUCAAUUCUUUCUUUCUCUCUCACGUUUUAUAAACACAAUUUUCUCUCAAAACGUGAAGGAAAGCUACAUAAUAUCGUGAGUUUGCUUGCAACUUUCAGAUUUAGUACUGCUAACUUGUUCAUCGAGGUAAGACAAGUGUCUCACAAUCGUCUGUCCCAUAUCUGAAAGGUCGAGAUAAUGACAAGCGGUAUUGAAGCUUUUUUAUCUCCUUGGCUAAGUGAGACACAAUUAUGUCGACAAUGAAACAACUUUCGAAGUAGCAAUUUGAGCCAUUGACUGGAAUUUAAGAGCAAUUCUUGUACAUGAGAGAAUUGUCAAACGAAGUAAGAUUUCUCUAGACUCGACUGACUGAGUUGGAUAAAAAGGUUGGAGCACAUUAGAUGCAUUAAAUGCCCAGAUAGACGGACUACCUGUAAACGAAUUAACGCUAAUGGUUGAUUCGAUAGAACAUAAAACCGCCCAAGCAGUUAGUUUUGAACUUGAGAAUAGUUCUUCGAAUUCUGUUACACACAUGGAAGAGCAUGUCAAAGAGCUUGACUAUUCCCAUAAGACCAUGCUAAAGUUGUUUAGCGAUCUGUCAGACGACUUUAGAGCCACGAUAGAGACAAUCAAAACCAAAAUGGUCGAGAUGAAAGUGCAAGUGAAUUUAACGAUGUGAGCACUAGCAAACCAGAUUUCGAAUCAAGCAUGUAUUGCUUCGUGGAAGUUCAAGAUCCUGAAACCCAAAGCCUUCAAUGGGAACCUCGAUGCUAAUGAGUUUGAAAUUUUCAUCUUUGAUAUGGAACAAUACUUUAAGGCCAGUGGAACCAACUUUGAGGAAACUAAGGUGACAUUAGCCUUCAUGCAUCUGUUUGAUGAUGCAAAGCUUUAAUGGAAGUUGAAAGUUAACGACGUCCAAAAUUGUCAAUGUAACAAUACUUUAAGGAAGAACUAAGAGCUUAGUUCUUUUUUGAAAAUGUUGAAUUUAUUGCAAGAAGCUAGAAAACUGGGGGAACUUAGACACGGGGAACCAUAAGAGACAUGUCGAAAAAGCAUAAAGUAUUGUGCUUUGUAGAAGGGCUCAAGUUGUGGGCUGAGACAAAAUUAUAUUAACAAAAAAUUCAAGAUCUUGCCUCUACUCUUGCUACAGCAGAGAGAUUAUUUAACUACGGUGGCGACCAAGAGUCUUAAAAGAAGAAUGUGACAACACUAAAUCUCGAGAAUAGCGUCUUCAAGCCUAAUUAUGCAAGAAACUUCGCAUGAUAAGAAAUCGUAGACCCUAAGCACUAUUCUCCUCGAGGAGCACAUAAGUCAUGUUCGAAUCAGACAAGACCUAUUUUUUGCUUAUUGUGUAAAGGCCCCUAUCAAGUAUCUGAGUGUCAAUACUGGGGAUCGUUGACAAAAUUAUAAGAUCUUAGUACAUGAUCCAUGAUCGUGUAUCAAAUCUAAACGAUCUUGGUUCAAAAUCUGUAGCAAAUAUAAAAGAUCUUGGUACACGAUCUUGAAUAAAAAUCAUUUAGAUAUUGGCACACAAUCGCGUACCAAGAGCUAAACGUCGUGUACAAAGUCUAAAGGAUAUUAGUACACGAUCUUGUACUAAAUAUAAAUUAUCUUGGUAUAGAUCUUGAACCAAGUUUGUUUAGAUUUUGUACACGAUUAUUUAGCUCUUUGUAUGUGAUCGUGUAUCAAUAUCUAAAUGAUCUUGAUUCACGAUCGUUUAGAAGAAGAAUUACACGCGCACGUGUGGUCAAUGUUGAUACUACCUACACGAUCGUAUAUCAUUUCAUACAUGAUUGCGUAUGAGAUCGCUUAGAAGAAGAAUUACACACGCCCGUGUGGCCGAUUAAUCGUGUGUUGUCAGAAAGAUUUUUUAUAUUUUUCAUUGUGGGUAUUUGGACCUUUUCCAUUUUCGAAAUUGUUCCAUACAGUGUGAAUAUUUUGUUGGGUUUGUUAUAUUUUUUUUAAAAAAUCUCAUUAUAAAAUUCUAAAACAACUGAUUUAUUAGAGAAGAUUUAGUUAAUUAAAAGAAUUGAGUAUCUGGUUUGAUUUGAGAUCUUAAAAGGAAAAGUUAGUUUUGGUGGACCUCAAUCCUCAACUACAUCACAAACCUCGGAAAAUCUCACUGCUCCAAUUAACAUUGAACAGAUACUCGUAAAUCUUGUCACAACCAAUAUAACACCCAACCAAUCCAUACAAAUUCCUACACAUAAAUGACCCCAAACUAAAAAAUUCAUCCCGUGUUUCAAAACUUCCAAGCUACCUCUAGAACUACCAGUGUAACCUUAUAAAAAGGUCCUCUCCCCAAUUACCACCAACUUACAUCCUUUACAUAACCACAUCUCUUGUGAAAACCUCUCAACCCAAUAUUGCGAGACCUUUGCAAUGAACAUAUCCACACAUUAUGAACUCCAAUUUUACCAUCAAGCUGUCCCAUAUGAAUGUUGGAAAUUAGAUAUAUAAAAGUUGAGUUAGAAACCAUGGAGGUCAAUAACACGCAUGGAUGAUCAUUCCACUUCCAACCCACAAACAUUCAAUUGGUUGUAGAUGAAUUUAUAAAUGCAUAAAGCAGAUGGUUCCAUAGAAAGAUACAAAGCUCGGUUGAUCACAAAGAAAUAUACUCAAUAUGAAAAUUACAUAAGUCGGUAUAUGGAUAGAAGCAAGCUUUUUGACAAUGGUUUACAAAGUUCUUUAACACCUUGAUAUCUUUAGGUUUUCAGCAAUCAAAAGCUUAUUACUCCUUAGAGGUUCUGAUGCUGACUUCUUAGUCCUGUUAGUAUAUACGUAGACGACAUCAUGAUUAUUGGAGUAAAUGAGUCUCAAAUUACACAAGUAAAAAUCCUCUUAAAUAAGAAGUUUAAGGUAAAAUAUUUAGGAGAACUCAAAUACUUCUUAGGAUUAAACUGGCAAGAUUUUCUCAAGGGAUUUUUCUAUCCCAAAGACAUUUCACUUUACAAUUACUAGAAUCUUGGCUGAAAACCAGAACCUGUACCCAUGGAUCCUAGUCUCAAACUGAGUAAGGCCAUUAGUGAGCCCUUGAAAGAUCCCUUUACGCAUCGAAGGUUGAUUGGCAUGUUACUUUAUCUUACUAUAACAAGAUUGGAUAUUAGUUUUAUUGUCAACAAGCUAAGCCAACUGUGUCUCAAACCUUGUUAAGCUCACCAUUUAGUUGUCCAUCACUUAUUGAAGUAUUUGAAAAAUGCUCCAGAAUAAGGUGAUUCUUCGACCAACCAAAAACUUUCAAUUGAAAGCAUUUGCAGACUCAAAUUAGUCAUCAUGUGUUGAUACUCGGCGUUCUACCUACAUGAUUUUGCAUUUUCUUGGGAGAUGCUCAGUGUCAUGGAAGUCCAAGAAGUAGAAUGUAGUCUCACGAUCUUCAACAGAGGAAGAAUAUUGAUCCAUUACGCUGACAUUGUGUGAACUGAUUUGGUUACAUUCUUUGUUAAAAGAUUUGCAACUUCCUUCCUCAAACAAUCUUGUUUUGUGACAAUCAAAUUGUUGUCCAUGUUGCCUCUAAUCCAACCUUCCAUGAACAAACGAAACAUAUAAAACUUGAUUGUCACUUCAUAAGAGAAAAAGCUCCAUUUGGUUUCUUGAAGAUUUUACGUAUCAAUUUUCGAAUUCAACUCGUAUAGAUACUCUCACAAAUUAGUCACUUACAUCUAUUGUGUUUUGUCUCUAUUGUUAUCCAAGAUGGGUUUAUUGAAUAUUUUCAAUCCAUCUCGAGAGGGAGUAGCACAUAUAAACUGAAGUUUGUUAUUCAGUUAUCAAUUAGUUUUAUCUCACACUCGAUGUAAUGCCCAUUAUACAUACGUGUGUGUGUAUAUGGUUGGUACGUAAAGUUAAUGAAAUAAGGCAGACUUAUUUUGACCCUUCUUCCUCGUUAAACCUUGUGUUUCUUUCUCCUCUAUUUCUUGUUAUGUGUAUGACUCGUGAUCAUCCUAUGUUAAAUACUAACCCUUCUUUCUAUACGAGUUCUAGAGCAAUAUAUAUAUAUAUAAAAGAAUGCUAAACUUUACAUGGUGGCUAUGAAUUGCCAAAUAUUAUUAUAUAAAGCCAAUUCUCCAAGGUUGUAUGAAUAUAUGUGAAUAAAUUAACUAACUUAGUACAUUUAACUUUUAAUUAUUAAACGUAGGCACGUGAGAUUAUACCAAAAAAAGAGAAAACUCAAAAAUCCUUUUAAUAAUAACAAUAAUAAAACAAUAAAUUCCUCAAAGUGGUUUUCAAGUUGAAUCUUGAAACCAUCCAACUGCUUAUUUAGUCAUUGAGUCGUGUGGUUCUUUUAUUUUUCAUAUUUUGGAAGAAAACCCAAACUCAUGGAUUCCAUUAAAACUUGUGGAUUUACCAUAUGCGGUUUCAUAAACUUCUUAGUCAAUAUGUGGAUUCCAUACAACAUUAUUUUUUGCAACAUCUAAUUUUAGGUUCUCUCUUUUUCUAUUUUUCUUUCUUUUUUCAUUCUUCUUUUAUACAAUCUUUACUGUUUAUAAAGUAAGCAAAUAUUUUCCAAUAACUUUAAUAAUUAACACUUUGCCUCUUUUUCUUUUUCGUUUUUUCUUUAUUUGCCACUAUCAAUAUUGUAAUAAUAAUACCAUUAAUUAUUACUUAAAAUAUUACAUGCACAUUUCAAACUUGAUUAUUUAAUAACUAUAUUUUCAUGAAUAUGUUUAAAUUAUAUACAUGAAAUUCUUGAUAGAUAAUUAUAACGUUGCACUAAAAAAAAUUCAGGUUAAACUAAUCAUUUACGUAAAAAUAUUUAUUGAAAACUAACUCUUCAAUUACAAAAUUUGAAGUGAUAUUUUCUAAUAUAUAAUUUAAUAUUAAAUUAAAAUAUUUAUAAACUCUAUCUAUCCAACCGUUUAAUAGACUUUCAUAGAUUUCUAUUAGUAUCUAUGAGGAGUAAUAUUUAUAGGUUCGUUUUUUAUAAUUUUUCAAUUUCAACCAAUUUUAUCUAAUUUAAUUAAUUUCUUUCCAAAAAAAUGGAAAUGAUUCUCCCCAAUAAUUCAAGCAUUAGAACUUCUGUACUACAAUCUCUAUCAAAUUAAAUGAGAAUUUUUUAAAAUACCAAAAGUGAAAAGGAGAGAUAGGGACAAGAAAAACAACUCUAACCUCAUUUCAUCUCAUAAAUAUCUCUAGGUUGAAAACCAACAAUAAAAUCUUUUAUUGAUAUAGGAAUACACUUUGAAACAUUCAAUGUCGAUAUUAGAUAUUUAUGAAUAUCAUUUUAUACAUACUCAAAAUAUAAUAAAUGUCAAAUAUUUAAUCCAACAUGAGUAAAGUUUAGAAGUAAAGACAACCUAAAAUAUUAAAGAGCGUUUGCAAAAAGAAAAAGUGGGUUCAUACCCUUACAUUUUCUAAGUUAGUUAUUGAAUAUAUCUAAUUACUCGUUAUUUUGUCGUAUUUACAAAAUAUAUAAAAAAGAUGGGUUAAGGGAGUGUUUUUUUCUAAUUCUUUUUUUGUUAGGUAAUGCAAUUUCUCAAAUAUACUAGUAAAUAAUUUUUGUAAAAAAAUUAAUGAAAAAGAAAAUAUUUAGUAAAAACUCACUAAAAUAAUUAUAAAAAAAAUGUUGCUACCAAUUUUAUCAUAAAAUAUAAAUAUAUUUUCAACUAUAUAAUUUUUGAGUUUGUGGGACGGACACAAUAGAGAGACAUUGAUAUUUAAUAAUGAGUAAACUAUGGGGAAUGAGGAGAAUAUAGUAAUUUAAGUUUGGAAAAUAAAAUAAUUAGUCCUUGAAAUCACAGGUAACGUUAAUAAAUAAACAACUAAAAGAAGAAAACAGCGUAAACGCCUUUUUCACAAAAUCCAGGAAUCCUUCUCCACCAAAGCACCUUGUUUUCUCCUCAAAACCAUGGCUUCCAAAAUCUUCCUCCUUUCCCUUUAAUUUUCCCCUUUCUUUUCCCCUCUCUCUAUAAAUACUCACAUCUCACCAAAAUUCCACAAACCCAUUACAAAUCUCUUCAAUUCCUUCUUCUUUCUUCUUCUUCCAUCAAUUCAAUUCACCAAACCUAGAAACACACACAGAGAGAGAGAGAGAGAGAGAGAGAACAAAAAACAGAGCAGCAUGUCUAGGAGCGCAGUUUGCAGAGCGUGGUUCGUGGCGGCGAGCAUCGGGGCAGUCGAGGCGUUGAAGGAUCAAGGGGUUUGCCGGUGGAAUAAUGUGAUUAAAUCACUUCAACAACAUGGGAAGACCAAAGUUAGGUCUUACUAUCAAGCUAAGAAGCUCUCUGCUUCUUCUUCUUCCGCCAUUGCUAACCAGAUCAAGAAGUCUAGAGAGGAUAAGAUGAGGAAAGUUAUGGAUUUGAGCUGUUUGGGACCUAGUACUAUUAGAUUCUAGGACAUGUUUUUGUUUAUGGGUUUAUAUGAAGAGUGUUUUGGGUCUUGGUCAUGUGGGGUAGAAGAAGAUAUAAUGUUCUUACCAAAAGAAAAAAAAAAGUACUUCUAGAGAAAUGAUAUAUAUAUAGGUUGUUUCUUCUCUUGUUUUUGUUUAUGUUUGUGAUGGUUUUGGGUUUGAAGUUUGGUAAUGAAGCUUCAAUUCCCUUCACUUUUUUUUUUGUAAAUAGGUCUCUGGACUCUGGAUUACAUAUUAAUGGACAUUCAAAUUCAAAUCUUCCUCUCUUCCAAAAUGGAGAUGGAGAAGAAUUCUCUGUUUUUUUUUUCUUUUCUUUCCAUUUCCCUUUGUUGGGACCAAGAAUGUUUUGAGCACACAGAUCAUCCAAGAUUUCAAUUUCAAAAUAAAUAAAUUAGCUAUUUGUUGAAAAAAUAAAUAUAACAUUAGAAAAGAUUAUAGACAACUUUGUUAUUUUUUUUGCAAUUUUGAAAAUGUAUAAGUGAAAUAAAUUUUAUUAUAAAAAAAAUACUUUUUUGUUACUUUUACAAACUCGCUAUUUUCUGUUGUCGUAAAACGGUUCGAUUUGUAGAUUAUUAUAUUUCAGAUUUUUGGUUUUAAAAAAUUAAACUUUUUGGAAAGUUGUUAGAAGAAAACAAGUUUUCAAGUAAUAUUUGUCUUUUAGUAGCAAAUAGUUUGGGAAAAUUUUCUAUUUUUUAAAAAAUUCCUUAUUUUUAAUUAAAAAUUAAAAAAUGAAUUAAUUAGCAAAUGAAACUUUCAUAUUUUUAAAACAACUCUAAAUUUAUUUUAGAUGAUAUAUAAUUAAAUUAGUUAAUUGUAAAAAUUAUUUAAUUAAAGUAUAAUAGUAGUUGUAAAUAUACCUUUAAAUAUUUAAAAUUUAAAAUUAAACCUAAUCAAAUAUAAAAAACUGUAUUAACAAUAAGUUUGGGGAUUUAAAUUUCAUAGUCUCAUCAAUUUUUUUACAAUUAUUGUAUGUUUGAUGAUCCAAUUUUAACAAUUUAGAAGUCUAAAAGUCCAACGGUAGUUAGAUCAAUCGAUGAUUUAAGAUGUUCAAACUGGUACGUUGUUUCCUCUUCUAUUAAUAUUCAAUUUUCACUCCACAGGUAAAAGGUGUUACAUAUUAUUUUAAACUUGCCUUCUUUUAUCAAUUUUGAAAUACUCAACCCUAAACAUUUUAAGUUCAAUUUUUGCUUUCUAAUAAAUCCGAUCCAUGAAAAAGGAUUACACUUUAAUGACAUUACUCAUCUUAAGAUAGAAUGUUUAGAUAUAAUAUACGGUCUUGAAAGAAAGAAUGAGAAUCAUCUAGAAAAGUUAUAAGAAACCUCACGAAUUAUUUUUAAAAAGAUAAUGUUUUAAUUUUAAUAUGUUGAGAUGAAAUCUCAUAUAUAUAUUUUUAUUCUUGAAUGUUAAGCUAAUUUUUGGGGAAGUUGCCAUUUUUAUUAGAUUAAAUAAAAUAUAAUUUCGGUCCAAUGUUUGGGCUUUGGUUUUUAGUUUAAUCUAUGUACCUUUAGUCCCACGUUUUCUCCCAACCUUAUAUAAUAAAAAGUGCUAAAUAAAUUAUCACACAAAAUUACCAAUUUGGUCUUCUUCUUCUUCUUCUUUUCUUUAUUUAUAAAUUAAUUAAAUUAAAAUAAAAUAGGUGAAUUUGUUUUAGAACAUAAAACAUCUAAAACUACCCAUUUCAAUUCCAUUGUUUUAAUACAUAUACUCAAAAAGAAAAUAUUACUUAUUGAUACUUAGUUUAGUAUGUGAUAUCCAAUAAAAUAACAUAAUGGGUAUCAAUCAAAUUAUUAUGCCAACACGUUGAAAAUACAAUCGAAUAUUUCUCUCUCUAAAUUAUUCUUUAUAUAUAAAUAAGAGAUAAAAGACAAAGAAUUAUUGUUAGAAAUAGUGAUAGGCUCAUAGCUAACAUAUUAGUUGAAGUCAAAUAAUGAAGUUAAGGUGUGAAGAAAUGAAUUGUACUGAAUUAAAUAAGAUAUUAAGUAGUUGAGGGGAUGUGUGGUGACAGACAUGCCCAUUUUUGAGAUCUAGAGAUGCAAAUCAAAAAAUUUCAAACCUUACAGAUAAAUGUAACAAUCAAUGUACCAUAUCUGACUAAUGGGUCAUAAAUUAUUUGGGAUAACCACAUAAUGUGUUAGACCAUUUUAGGAUUGUGUGGUUAUCCCAAGUAAUUGUAAAUAAAAUAAACUAAAUUUUGUGGCUCAUAGAAUCUAUUACUAGCUAACAAUUGAGUUUGAUGAAUUUUUACAACAUUAUUUUAAAUUAAUAUAAUUUAAGGAGAAGUAUCGAGAUUAGGUCAAAGUACCAUUUCGAUCUCAUUGUCGUUUUUUUUGUUUUUUCUUUUUCUUUCAAAUGGAUUCAAUGAUUUAUGAAUAUAUUUUAAAAUUUAUGGUAAAUGUGAAAGUGGAUUAUUUUUUUAAAAGAAUUUAAGGAGUGAAUUUAAGAUUUAUUAAAAGUGAAUGGACUAAAAUUGAAUUUUAAAAUAUAUACAUACUAACAUUCAACAAACUUCCAAGUAUAAGUAUCGAAAUGGUAUUUUAACCAUAAAUGUUAUGUCAACUUUAAAGUAAUAAACUAAAUUGUUUGAAAAUGUUAUUAGAUAAUAUGAUAUUUCAUCUCAAAACCAAUUUAAACUAUAACAAAAUUGGUGGUUCAUUAUACAACAUACAACAGUAUAGUCAAAUUAAGCUGCAGAGAAAAACAACACUACAAGAAAUCAGGGCAUUCCCGAUGUCAAAAUGGGUGUCAAUGAAGUGUAUGUCGGGAAUGUCCCACUAUUUCUUGAUGCCGCUAGGCAAGCGUCAGCAGAGAUGUCCAUUCCCUACGUCCACAUUUAGCUAGGCAUCGAGAAUGGUCAACUAACCCCCAACAUCAAUGUUCAUGGCAUUGAGAAAAGAGAUAUUAUUAUUUUAUUUUUUAAUUAUUCCUGACGUCAUGCUAACACACGUUAGGAGUGAUGUUAACUAUUCCCAACAACAUAAGUGAAACGUUAGAAAUGGAGGCACCUUUUUUUACGUUGUACUUUACGGCGUUGGGAAUAGGUGGAUCUUCUGACGUUCAUAAAGUGAGUCGGAAGAUCCCCUACAUAUUUGAGUUUUGUAUUCACAUAACACAUAACUCAAAUUGAAAGGAAAAGAGGAAAAGACCGAGAGAGAGAGAUCGCCGUCCAUCCGUUGUCGUCUGCUCUGCUCGUCGCCGACACCCCCUCUGUCUUUGUCUCUUUCACAACCUCUUGGUUGGAGGUAAUUCAAAGUUUAAUAUCUUAAAUAUAAUCCCUUUUGAAUUUGUUCUUAAUUUCCUUUUCUAUCAUUGGGUUUCUUUCUAACUCUCCCAAUAUUUCUUCUUGAUUUCUGUUUUUGUUAUAUUCAACAGUUUGAAAUGUGUUGAUAUCGCUCUUUAUGUUAUUGGCAACAAUGGUGAGUUUAGAAGGUAAAGUAUAUGAUUUUAUUUUUCUUGUUGUUUACUUAUUGUUUAGUGUGUGCUUGUGGUUUGAAUUUUUGUAUACGUUUGUUUGCACACAACAACUGCAAAAGAGGAGGAAGUUGAAGAAGAUGAAAUGGAUGGUUACCCAAGCAGGAAGAUGACGACAACGAGAAGAUGUUUCUUUUUUUUUUUAAAUAGAGGAUAUCCAGAUGCACGAGAUAUAGCGUCGGGAUAUCCUCUCUCGAAAGACUUUUUCCAACUUCGAACUCAAUGCGAAUUUAUGUGUCAAAAAAUUAUUUUCCGACGUUUUUUCUAUUUCUCCCGAUGCUUUUGUGUGUUGGGAGAUCCUCAUUUUCUUGUAAUACGAUCAUAAAUACUACAAUGUACAACUUUUUUUGCAAGAUUAAUAAAUGUUGAUUUUUAUAUUUUUUGAAAUGUAUGACAUUUGUAAGUGUCACCAAACUAUGUAUGGGCGGAUCAAUUAAGGGGUCGAGGGGAGCACGUGCCCCCCAUCAUAUUUCCGGUUUUUGUAUUUUAAUAUUAAUUUUGAAGUGUUAAAUUAUAAUAUAUCUUAAAUAAUGCUUUAAUUUUACUAUAUUUUGCAUUUGGUAUAGUAGUUGUGGCCCUCAUUUAAAACUCUAGGGUUGUAGGUUCAAACCCCUACAUAUGAUUUUUGGAUACGCUGCUAAGUGACUAUUAAGAUUGUAAUUAGGUCGCUAAGUGACUAUUAAGAUUGUAAUUAGGUCGCUAAGUGACUAUUAAGAUUGUAAUUAGGUGAUGAACCAGUAAGUAUUUCAAUUCAAGGUGAAAUAUUGAAGGAUAAGAAGUUUAAUUUUCAAAUUGAUAAAAAAAGUUAAAGAAUAGGAGGGUAAUAUUUUUAUGUUACCAUAUAACAUUUUCAUUGUUCUUCUCGUCCUUCUAAAUCCUUCUUUUCCUUUUCAUUGUCCUUUUCAGCCUUAAAUUAUAUUGUUGUUGAAGUAAUUUGGGUGAUAUGUGUAGCAAAAUUGCUUCACCUUUGGACCAGUCAUUAAUUUUAAAAUUGAGCGUGUCAAGAGAUUCAUUUAAUAAUGCAUAGCAAAAGACGAAAAGGGUGACAAUAACAAUGCCAUUGUUUUGUUCUAUUUCAUAUCUUUUAACUUUUUAUUCCAUAACCCUAUGAUACUUUGCAUGGCUUCUCGAAUGAAAAUGCAAAGAAUGCUCCCUUACUUAACGUCAACAACAACAACUUAGUUUACAUAAAAACCAAGUUGGCCAUUGACCACGACAUAUCAUAUAUUCUCUCCGAGUCAAUAACGCACCAAAUGCAAGUAGUACAAUUUGAGAAUUACCAUCAAUAGUAUGCAGACAAACGUGUUAGCGUACCCAGGUAUUUAUUCUUCAUGAAUGCACUAUCAACUGAAAUUAUUGGUAAACAAUAAUUCUAUGCAUCGAUAGAAGCAACAAGAUUCAUGAAAUAAUACUUAAACCUACCUUCGCUUUCUGCUUCUUUGAUAGUAUAUGUUCAUGUAAAUAGUGAAACGAAAAAUGAGCUACGCUUGAUAACUUAGAAUGUAUCAUACUUGAAUUACAUUGUAUUUAUGAAAGCAUGUGUACUUGAAUUAUUCGAAUCAAUGUAGUAGAGAAUGUUGACAACAUGGCAUUAUAAGGCCUCUGGAGUACCCCUAAUAGAAUUCAAAGCAAUUUCACACCCUCUCCGAGCCUUGUCACAACUAGCUUACAUACACUCCCAUGAUGCAUUUUUAUACAAUUAACAACAUCAGAAAAAUGGCUUUGUACACUAGAAAUAAUCUAAGAUGUUGCUUGCCUAAGAUCAUCUUUUACUAUGCAUGUCAACCAGCACACGGGUGCUGGGUAUUUGUGAAUUUACGAACUAUCCAAAUAUCACUUUUAUUAAAUAUAGAAUUAUCACGUAAAUACCAAGGACAUGACGGAUCCUUAUAUCAAAUAUCUAAUGAGAUACAAUUCGACCUAAUCAUAAUAAGUUCAAAACUAUUGUUAAUAGCAAACAAUAAAUAGCUUUUUAGUUUCAAUAUUGAUUUGCUUAUAACAUUAAUCCUACUUUAAUAGGAAUUUCAGCGUGAGAUGAUUCAAAUGCAUCAAAGUCAAUAAUUUUGGUGCCAUGAUGUGAAUGUUAAGAUCUAGGUAUUUCACUAUUUAAAUACGCUAUACUUCUAGCAACACUCGCUAAUAUAGAGUUCAGCAAUCACAAAUAAAUCCUUAUAGAAGAAUUUCGAUAGAACUAACAUAAGCCAAGAAACAUUUUUAUCGUUCUCGCCAAUUUGAAUGAGAUUGGAAUGGUUGCGACCAUCCUAGUAAAUUGUCAAACGAGAAAUAGAUAGAUUGGCAAAUGGAAAAAGUUUACCUUGAAUAUAAUACAUUCAACAGAUUGUUGAAACGAAGUUGCAAAUAAAACAUAGCCCGAUAAUCAUGAUACUAGGAAGUUAUGAUCCAUCUACCAUAAAAAAUAGUCUUUACUCGUUGUAAAUUAAUAACAAAAACUUCUUGAUUACAAUUCUAUUCUUGUCUUCCAAUUGUAUAAUAGACACGAACUUUUUAAAAUAUAUUGCUAUAGGUCGAUCUAGUACAUAUAAAAUAAUUAACAUGCAAAUCAUUUCAAACAAGUAAAAUAUAGUCUAAAAUUAGUUUAAAUACAACUUUAAUUAAAAUAAUAAAAACGUAUAAGAGAAACAUACAAUUUCCAAAAUCCAACUUUAAAAAUACAAAUAUAUAUUAAAAAUACAUAUAUUCAAAAAUUUAUUAAAGAUAUAUCAUACAACUACUAAAUAUCUUUAAACUUGAAUUAAAAAUGUAUUUAAAAUACAACUAGAUCCAUUGAGAUUCAGUUCUUAAAUUUCGAUUCAUUUACGAUAUAAUCUCAUAACCAAUAAUUGAGUAAAAUACACUGUGUUUCAUAAAAUCGAUCACCUUAUCAAUAUUCACUAUUACAGUUACAAAAUCGAGAUACAUUUAAAAUGCAUUGUAUGCAGUAAAGAUGAUUUACCCACAACCAUAGGUAAAAAUGGAAUAUUUAGAAAACUAGAAAUGUGGGUGUCACAACUUUGUUAAAAGUCUUAUACUCGUCGGUUAUAUCUAUAUUUGAAAGGGGCACCUCCAAUUUUGUCAUUGUAACAAAUUUCACUCUAUAUAAAUGGUGUGAUUAUGGCAACCUAGCCCACCUCCAUAUACAUCUAACUCAAACAGCCCAUCAAUCAUAACCAUCACCCUAAUUUCAAAGAAGUAGGAAAAACAAGAAAACUAGAGGUUGUUUGAGUCAUAACUAACUCACCUUUUACUGCAACAAAUAUUAUUAAAAGUCUUCAAUUAGCUAUAUAAACGACACUAUUUCAAAGCCGUAUCUGAUAUUGUAUAUAUUUACUAUUUGCUACACUUUUAAUACUAUUUUACAUUAUGUCGUUUUUCUAUUCUUUUCUACAGUAUUUACUAUUUCCUUCUCAAAUUAAUUAAAAUAGUUUUCACCUUAAUUUCAUCCCAUUGCAAUCCAAAGUAAAAUAUAAUUUACACUCCAAACAUAAACUAUUGUACUUCGAUUAUAAUAAUUUAGGACGAAUAACCAACUUUUGGACCCAAACAAUGCCAUCAAUUGUAAAUUGAAAAAAAAAAAAAAAACCACAUAUGAUUAUCCCCAUCCUCCUCCGACCUCCAUAGCUUCCCUCUACACCGAUCUUCCCGUUUCCUCAAUGGUUCAACGAUCUAUAGCUCCAUCGUCCCCGCACCAUCAUUCUCUUUGAGUUCAACAUUUUAGAUAAGUUUUUUUUUCUCUUUCUAUUUUCUUUUUGUUGAAAAAAUUGGCACUAACUAAAGAGACACUCACUUGGAAGAAAGAAAGUUUUAUUGAGACAAUUUACAAAUGAUGGACACUUUUAGAGGGAACACUGCUCACUCUCACUUAAAAUUUCUUACUAACUCUCUUUCUCUCUUCCUCAUCCACUAGGAUAGUGUUGAAAAAUGUGAGUAAUUGAAAAUAAAAUGGAAAUGAGAACUGUGAAGCGUGAAACAGUAUUUGGAUUGAAAACUGUUGGAAUGAAAAUUAGUUUUGUAAAACAAGUCGAACCUAAUAAUACACACACACUCCAAACAUGGAAUUGGGAUUAAAUUACAUUACUAACUCAUUCUAUUACGGACCACCAAAGACCCUCUAUAAAAGGGAAGGAGGUCUUCCAUUUCAUCAUGAACAACUCACCCUUCACCAGAGAAAUAAAAUUGUGCUAUAAGGAGGCAUCACUAUCACUAAGAUAGUAUCCAAGCACAACAUUGCUGAUCCUUUAUAAAGAUUCUCAUAGUUAAAGUAUUUGACAGUUAUUUAUAGAAUCCAGACCUAAAAGAUAUGCAUCAUAGACUGAAGUACAAAAUAAUUAAUUUAUCUUUAAAAAUUCGUUAAACAUUAGAGAGAAUAAUAUUUGAGAAGAUGAUCAUAAGUAACUAACACGAUUUUGAUCUAUUUGGAUCAUAUAUUUUAUUUUUCAAAAUAAAAAAAAAAGAUAGUAAACUCACUUUCUAUAGAAAAAAAAUCUUUUUUCUUUCAAUUUGUAAUCAGAACACAAUAAUAUAUAUAAUAUAACAACAAAUAAAAUAAAAAAAAUAAAAAAACAAACGAAAAAGAAAAUCCAAUUGAAAGGCAAGAAAAUGCCAAAGAUAAGAUAUGUUGAUUCAAAAAUCAAAGUGGUCGUGGUUGGGCUUUGGAGAAGUAAGCAACGCCGUAUAGAGGCGGAGGCGAUCCUCCCCCAAGGAAGAGCACCGUGAGAGUGGGCGGCGGGGCCGAAUAAAGGACAAGGACGUGAGUGUGAGACGAUGGCGAUAUCGGCGCCAGGCUAGCUGGAUGGCAACAGCAGCCCAAGUGCGCCAGCCUGGGGAGUAGUAGCGGGCACUGCGCUUGACCUUGUCAUUGACAAAGGUGUAGCGGAAGUGCUGGGUUACAUACUUGACAUCCUCGGCCUCCAAGCUGAAGGCUUCAGUGGUCUCCAGUGUCACGAGAGUAAAGGAGGAGGGUGGAAGGCGCUCUAUGAAAGGGCGGCGGAGGCACCAGGAUAGAAGCUCGUCGCCGCUGAAGUUGCCGGGGCCCAACAUGCAGCAGCUUUUUACGCCGUCGCGUAGGACUUGGCUGCUUUGGAGAUGCCCUCGCACUACGAAUAGCAUUCUUUGUACUGGAUCUCCUUCUCUUGUUAUCUAAACAUCCACAUUACACAAUUUUCAACUAACAUUAACAACACUCUCAUUUUUUAAUCAACUUCCCUUUAAAUUCUUAACAAAUUUUUUUUUUAAAAAAAACUACCCUUUUGAAUUUUGGAUUUUUAGAAACACUUUUAGAAGUGAAUAAUAAAACCAAAAAAAAGAAGAAAAAUUAGGGUUUCAGUUGAAACUCACGGUUUCGCCCUUAGUGAAGAUGAGGGACUUGACACGAUCACAAAUGUUCUCAAGAACAAGAUCAUCCAUAUGUUGAAACAAUGGCACCUGCCUGACUAGAUCCAAGCAAAGGUGAUACUUUAUGUCUCGUCUAAGCCCUUCCGGUAGGUUUUUUAUCAUCUCGCACUCGUCCACACCCCGCAUCGCCGCCCACCGUUGGCGUUCAUAGUUCCGAACACGCUGCCGAAACCCUUGUGGCAGCCUUCGCUUCCUCAUCCACCACUCUAGGUUCCUCAUCUUCAGCUGCAUUCCUUGUUUUUUUGACGUUGUUGCAUGUAGAAACACCUUCGUAAACACAUAAAUACUACCAAAUUGGCUUCAUUUUCAUUGGGUUUUUUUCUUUUUAAAUUCAACAGAAACUAAGAACCAGCUGACUUCUAAAACACAAAAAAUUAAAAAUUAAAAGUAACAAAAGAUUUAUUUCCAAUUGUUAAAACUGAACCUGAAUAUUAAAAGCUAAAACAUUUAAUUACAAAAAAAGAAAAGACAAAAAAGGGUACCUUGAUAUUUCCAAUCAACAUGGUGACCAAUAAGAGUCCACUGGUGAGAACAAUGAUAUUGAACACUACUUCCAGCCAUUCAGUUGUGCUUUCCAAAUUCCCAAAGGUACUGUCUCCUCACACACAUCCAAUUCCACAAAAUUAAAAUAUAAAAUUAUAUAAACCCCAUUGUUUAAAAUAAAAUUAAACGUUUGUUUUUAAAUGUCAGAUAUUUUAAAAUAAAUUUUCUUCUGUAUAAGCUUAUGUAAUCGAAGUUGAUGCAUGAAGAUAAAUAUGCAAUAUAUAUCUAAAAGAAAAUGGAAACGGCGGAAUUAGAUACCUAAGAGUCAUGAGGCCCCAAAAGAUGGGGAAAAGGAUUUUCUCCAACCGACUUUGAUUGACAACAAGUUGAACAGUCCAUUUAUAAGCUCCAUAAUCAAAGUUAUCAGCAGUAUCUAAACACAUGAAUUUUGAUAGCCUAUUGUUUGCCCAAUCAAACCUUCCUCCAUCUCUUCCCAUUCUCAUAUUGUUUGGUCCAUAGAAGAUUGGGUCUUUGCAUGAUAACAACCUCAGCCCACAGCUGUUGGUUGUUGCUGAUCUACAUUGCUCUUUUAGACAUUUUGCUGCUCUUUGUACCCCUAAUAGAUACCAACAUGCACCUGCAGCCUUCAUUCGUGUAUAUACAUUAUAUACACUUUUCCAAAGCUAUUGUGUUGCUUUUGCAAAUGAAAAUUUCAUAUUUUGAUUCCAAAACACACACGUGCUUAUGGUUUUGCAGGAAAAUAAGCAACAGAAAUAACAGGGAAAUUUAAAGAUAGACAAUAAAACUAAAAACAUAAGAAUUAAUAAUCAAUGUGAGAAAAAACUCCAAACUUGAGAAAGAAUUAUGUGUUAGAAAAUUUCUGCUAGGGUAAAAGAUUAUUACAAUAUUUUUCCUAAUCUCAGAUUGAAACAAGAAAACUUUCUUAAAGCAUUUUUAUAACUUCGCCAUCUCACGUUUUUUCAGUUUUUAAAGUAGAGAAUAUAAAAAGAAAAUUUAAUUAAAGUUAACACAGUCAAGCUUUAAAGAGUUUAUUCUAAUUGGAACAAUUUGAAAUAAAAAACAUAACGUUAGAUAAGUACUGCACUUCUAAUAUUUUGCUAAAUCUUUUAAAUUUAAUGUAAUUAAAAUCAGCAUCCUAGAAUCAUGAAACUAGCUUAAAUAGGGAUGGUUCGUGUUGGAAAGAAACUUUUUGCUCAAGCUACUUGUAUUGUUGUUGAUCACUUCAAUCUAAUCUAGUUCUUUAAUUUUGUGAUGUUGAUUCAAAUCUCAAACUAACACUCAUAUUUAUACACAAAUGAUAGCCCUAUACACAAUAUCUAGUAGUUAUAAAUGACUUUCUAAAAUAUUCUUUACACAAUUACGUUUGUGGUAUCGUAUUACAAAUAGGGAAAUCUUUUUAGAAAGUUGUAAGAGAUAGUAGUGUUGUUAGGUUGAAAUGGAAGUUCAGAUACAAUUAAUUGUAGGGAAUAAAGAAAAAAGAAGGGUGGGGGUUGGGGAUGAAGUUGAACUAGAAGCAAAACUUACAUGGGCAGCAACAAAGUAAGCAAUGAGAUUGAGAGCAAUGCCCCACCAAACAGUGCCAAAGAUGUAACCAGAAAGGUUUUGGAGACGUCGUAGUAAGCAAACAGAAUGGUACAAUUUUGGUAAAUAUUGAAACAAAAAAACUAUCAAUAAGACUGUCAUCACCGAUGUCACUAAUCCUUCUUUCAUUAUUCUAGGAAUUACUAUCCAUAAUACAACCUGCAAACAACAUCCAAAUCAUUUCAAUAAAACAUCAGAUUUUGAAGAAUAAUUGUUUUCUUAUUAUAUUUUCAAAAUUAACACUUUUCCAAGUUAGGAUUAUAACAGUUUUUUUAUUUCCUCACAUAUUUAACAGUAUGGGAAUCACAUAGAAAACGAAAAUAGAUCGAAUCCCAAUAUAUUCCCGAAUCAAAAUCAAAAUCAGAAUCAGAAUGAGGAACUAAAAAGAAAUAAAAAACAAGAGAUGUUGAGAAAUUAGAAAACGGAAAGGGGGAAUUCAUAAUUGUCCUCCUACGCUACACAAAAAGACAUCCAAAUUUCACAUGUUCUUCUGCCAAACACUCAACAGUUUCCCAAACAUCACAUUCUAUUAUUGAUUCGUUUACUCCCCUAAAAUAAAAUUUUAAACUUUUUUUUUUUUUGUUCCAAUAAUGUAUUUCAUAAUUAUAUGACACUUUAUGUUAAAUCACAAUUAUAUUUAGAAAAAAAAUUAUAUUGUAUAAUUUUGAAAAUUUUGUUUUCAUUCUUUUUAUUUUUUCAGAAUUAUUUGUUGGGUUUAGUUAUUAGAAGUUUAAUCUUUUUUGAAGAAAUAAAAAACGAGGAAAGAUGUGUGAAGAACAUUUUCUGACAAAGGAGGGCAUAGAUAUUAUUCAUAAUUGUUCCAUUAUUCUUUAUUUUUAGCCAUUUCAAUUUUUUCUAAAAAUUUAACUGUUUUUUGUUUUCUCUUUUUUUUUUUAACUAAUUGUUUUCAAUUUUUUACAUGAAAGUUUUGGAAAUUUAAUAAAUUUUCAAAUUUUUUUCAAGGAUGAUAAAAUUCAUGUUAAGGUAACUAUGGGAAGUAAAAACAAAUUUCAAUAGAAAAGUACAUGGGUGCUUUUCUCUUGUAUGAUUUUGGUUGGGACAUUUUUUAAAAUAACAAAAUUAAUUAAAAUAUUUACAAAUUAUAGCAAAAUUUUAAAUUUGAUCAAUAACAAAUUGAUAAUGUCUAUCAAUGUCACUUAUUGAAGGAUAUAAGGGUCUACCAAUGUCUAUUAAUGAAAGAAUAUGAAAUUCUACUAUAUGUUAGUAAAUAUUUUAUCAAAUUCACUAUUUUUCACAAUUUCUCGUUUUACUAAAUUGUUCCGAUGGCAAAUUCAUCUUACUUUUUUCAAAAUAUUUUAAUUUUUUUAAUACAUGUCAUAAGCUUGAAAUGUAUAAAGAUGAAUGUACUCAAUAUGCAUCUUCUAAGUAUUGCUUAAAAUAGAUAUUGAUCCAUGCUUUUGGACAUGUAAUUUUUUUACCAAAGAAUUGAAGUAGAAGUUGGAGAUGGAGAUUUCCAUCUUCUAUGUAGAUCAAAGACUAAAAAAACACUAAUUAUAUGACUUAUUAACUUUCUAAUUAAAUAAUUUCACUGGUUACUCCAAAACUCCCUUUCCCUCUAUAUGUUAGUAUAAGAACUAAAAGGAUACAAAUCCAACUAACAGAUUUGAAAAUAUUUGUUGGGUUAGGGGGAGUGUUAAAGAAAAAACGCAUUAAUUUUGAUUUAUAAAAACUAAACAACUCUACUGUUUCAGUUUGUGAAUGGAUCGAGUUAUUAAAAUAGAAAUUUUAUAGAAUGAAAAGAAGAAUAUAUAUAAUAUGCAUAAUUUCAUGCAUGUGGGUAUUGGGUUUAGGUAAAAACAAUAUACCUGAGGAAAAGGAAGAAUGACAAAGAGAUCAAAAAAGAAGCCUUUCUUGGACUUCAAAUACCGGAGAGCGACGGCGCGUGGGCUACUAUCGCAAAGCCGUCUAUUUUCACCCCUCCCAUCACCCUCCCCGCUACCAGCAAAGGAUGACUUUGUAGCAGUCUUGAGCUGAAGCCACAUAUUCCAAAGGUGCAAAGCAUCGCCCAUGCAGCGGAGGACGGUCACGGUGAUGGCCAACCACCCGUCAAUAAAAACGCACAUCCACGACUCGCUUAUGGAUAGCGUGUAGAGAAACAAAGGGUCGACGAACAGGCCCGCUGCACAGACGAGGAGGAAGACCCAAUUCCAUUCUCGAACCCAUUUGGAUGUUGGGUCGAGAACUGAAGCAACUCCGUAUAAGCUCUGACAAAACGCAGCGUUGGAGUGUUCUUCUUCUUCUGAUUCUUGGUGGUCUAGCUCUUCGUCAUCGGAUGUUAGGGAGGUGGUGGCCAUGGAUGAAGGGAGAGUUAUGGAGGAGGGUAGUGAGGUGUUAUAUUGUUGUUUUGUUGGAUGUGAGAAUGUGAGUUUUGGAGUGUUAAAGAUAGAAGUGACAAAAAAGGAAUUAUUAAGAGAGGUGGAGGAUUGAGGAAUAAUAUAAAUGCAAAAGGGGAACCCCAACCCCAACAGAGAUUUCAUCAAUAACGACAAUAUUAGUUCUUAAUUUACAAAUUUAUCCUUCUCUAUUUCACAACCUCCAAAAACACCUUCCCCAUCUUUUGUUUGAUUUAUAGAACGGGUGCAAGUCGGUUCAGUUUUCUUAAUAUAUUUGGCUACAACUACUAACAUUCCAAUCAAUACGUUUCCUUUUUGUUAAUAACACUUUUAACCUUUCCUCUAAUUCAAUUCUGAUUUUAUUCUUCUUUUCUUUUCUCUAAAUCUGAACGUGGGGAGAAAUUGUCCUUCUUUAUUACCCUUUAUUAGCGCCCUAAACCAACUCCAACAUUAUGGCUAUCAAAGUUUUUAACUAAAAAUAUGAUUCCAAAUGAAUUCAUCUUAGCUUUUAAAAUCACUCUUUACUGUCAUCACAACAACCAACUUUAUUGAAAUCUCUAAAAUCUCCAAACUUCCAAGAAAGAGCAUGGAAUUAAAGAAAAAUUCUUUAAAUCACACCCCUACCAACCCUACUUAAUUUAUUAUUAAAAUCACUGACCAUUUAGCAUCUAAGUGUAUUAGUAACCACCCACUCUAUUGUUGAAAUGCCCUUUCCUCAAUUGUGAUACUAAAAGGAAGUUCAAUGAAUGACCUAUACUAAAACAACACUUAAUUAGAAUCUAUACUAAAAAUAAGGUCAAUGAUUUGAUUUUCAUAAUGGAACUAAUAAUAAUAAUAAAAGAUAAAAAGUGAGUAAAUUGCCUAUAGUAAAAAAAAUUUAAGUGGAGAAUUGUUGAAUGGAAAAUUCUUUACCUAAUAAGACCAAACAGUGUGAUAUAACUAUGUUUUAAACGCCAAUUCUUUAUGGGAUGCGAGAAGACUAAGCUAUGUUUCAAAUUCGAUGCGAAUGAAAACUUGAUAGUCUUUCAUGUUUUAGCAAGUUUUCAACUAUGUAAUAUUGAUCAUGACUAUGCGAUAACAUGAGCUACGCGAAAGGUUAGAACAUCGUCUCAUCGUAUAUAUUGACAUUCUAGGAGAGAUGGUCGAGCAUGAUGAGAUAUAUUGAUGUCAUGAUCUUUAUUACAUAUUUAAAAGAGUCAAACGUUUUAUUAUCGUUUUGUAUUUAAUAAGUCAACCUAAUCUCUCCAUAAAUAAAAUUGUUACAAAAUUAAUUUUCCAAAAAUUAAUUUCCAACCGUCUAUUGAUAAUUCUCUCACACUAUAUAUACACUUUUUUCAUUCUUUCAUUAUAUAUACGCGACAAAUUUUCAUAAGCUAGAAAAAAUUUCUUUCAAACUUCUUCUUUGAGUUUAUCAAGCAAUUUUGAGCGUUUAUCUGAGUGCUGAGAUUCCGAUUGAUUUAUAUGCAAAAUCAAUUGAAAAACAAAGGUUUUUUUAUCUUGGGGAUGACGAUGCAAUAACUUUAUUUGCACAAAGAAGCAGAGCCGCAAAACGACUUAAAGAGAGUGUGAUCCGCGAUUCAACCAUUUAUUAACUAUUUGUUGUUUUUCUAGCUUUGCGUUCUGACCACUAAACGUUUUAUCUACUUGACGAGAUAAACAGUAAACUUUGAGUGAGACACAAGCCAAGUGCAAGGACAAUUAUAUUUUAUACUACACGAACAAGAAAUGGAUGAGUAGUACAAAAAAGAAUGCCCCACAUUAAUUAAUACAAGAGAAAUUCUGUAGAAGAAAAUUUGAAAGGUUUAAUAAUAACUUUUUUACAACACUUUAAAAGUUUAUUUUAGAAACCUUUUAGGACAAAGAGUUGAAAUAAAAUAGAAUUUGUAAAAAACCUUUUUCUUUCAAUCUAAAGAAACACCGUAAAUCAAUGAUCAAUUAAACUAUAUAUUUGGAUUGUGAAUAUUGUUUUUUAGAAAAAGAAAAUCAAAAUUGAUACACAUAAUUCCUUCUACUUUUUGUUUUGAAGAAUUUUUAAUCCACAAAAUAAUAAAACAUUUUAAGGCCUAUUGAUCAAAUUCAGUAGUAGAAUAAAUCAAUAAAACAAAGGUCCUAAUGAUAUCAUCGGCAAUGCAAUUAAGUGCGGAAUAAUAUGUGAUGAGAUGAGAUGGGGGAUGGGAAGCAUAGGAAGCAUAGGAAGCAUAGGAAGGAAUAAAAGGAUAUUCUCCUCUUCUUCUUCUUUUUUUUUUUUUUUUUCUUAAUUCAAGAUAGUAAUAUUACAAAAGAAAAUAAAAAUGAAUAAAUAAAUUCUUUUUUUAAAAAAAGAAAAAACAGGUUGUGGCAACGUGAUAAAUUAAGAUUAUUAGUUUAAGUAUUUGAAUUUUGAAUAAAGAUGAGUGUGGACAAACAACACCUAACUGUUUCUGAAGGUACUCAAAAUUAUACUCUCUAAUUUGUCUUUUUUCAUCUCAAUAAUUGAAAAUAAACAACAAAAUUUGAUACAUUAUUUUCCCUAAAAAUCUUAUAUUAUUUUAAUUAUAUAACAAUUCCCUACCUUUUAUCUCUUCUUCACCACCACAAUACUGUUUGGAGACAAAAAAAAGUACAAUAAAAUCAUCCAAAAGGACUCCCCAUCUUCUCAACAAAUUUAAAAGAAAAACAAAAUAGAUCAAGAAUUAAUGAUAUAAUUUUCUAUUUGAUUUAAUUCUCAACUUUUAAAUGUUACAAAUGAGAUGAGAAGAUUUAAACAAACAUUGUCAAUAGUAAUCCAUUUUUAAAAUCCUAUCUUAUUAAACUCAACUUAUAAAUGCAUUCCUACUGCAUAAAACAAUGAACGAGUUUAUAUUAAAUAAUAAAAUAAGUUAUUUUAUUUACAAAAUAUAGGGAUGAACGUUGAAAUUUUGAGUGAGAAUAAAAUUUUUAACAUUUAUUAUUUAUUGUUUGUAAAAAAAACAUGGCAAGUAAAUUCAAAUGGAUUUGAAUAAUGGAAUAAUCCAUAUGACUUUAUUAAGAAGUUUACAAAAAAGAAAAAAGAAGAUGAAGGGCAAUAUAAUUCAAUAUUAUGAGGGGGAGAGGGGUGGGGGGGAGAAAGGGAUAAGUAAGGUAGGGGGAAAGUGACAGAUGUUAUUGGCUUUGGCUCAUUUUGUGUUACAAGUUAAACAACACAGGUUCUUUGAAGUUUCCUUCUUUUGUUUUCAUUGAUCACAACAAUGUAUAUCAUAAUGCAUCAAAACCCCAUUUGUUUCAUACUCAUCUAUUCCCAAACCAAAAUACUCCACAUUCUUCCUCUUCCUUCUCUUUCUAUACAAACACUAUUAUAAAUGGUCAUCACAAUGCCUACUUCUCACUUCCGUUACCACUUUGAUGAUACAUGGCCAUAUAACUCAAUAAAACAUGGAGUUCAUCAAAUACUAUUUUAGUCUUUGAUGUACUUUAAUACUUUCCAUUGUCUAAUUGUUCUUUAAAAAAAUGUUAUCUAUUAAUUACCAUAUCUCUGUGUAUUUUCAUUCCUAACAUUUAAUUUGUUUUCUAUUGUAUCUUGCAUUUACUCAACAUUAAGGCUCAUCUUAACACAUUAUGAGUGGCUAAGGUAAGUUUUCUAACUCAGGAUAGGAUUGAAAUUAAACCUAUAUUGUAUAUUUGGCUUGAGACUUGGUUUUUAGUUUUCAUUAUUAGUGAGUACUUGUUGAUUUUGUACUGUUCUUGAAUGAAUAUAUACUUCAAUUUCAUGCUUUGAAUUGAUUUUGUACUGUUCUUGAAUGAAUAUAUACUUCAAUUUCAUGCUUUGAAUUAAUGAGUUAUUUGCUCAUCUCUCAUUGAUUCAUUGGAUGCUAGUGUGGAACCUCUUCGUAUCUCAUUAAUCCAAGGGCAUCAUGUUAAAACUCACUUGGGUGUGGAUUUUAGGUUAUUGUUUACAAUAACUCUUUCACAAGCAUUAUUGCAUUGAUUUAUUGAUUUGAAGAACAAGUUGAUAGUAACUCAGUUUUCCAGGUUAUUAAUCAACUUAGCUUGACUAACUUGCUCAAUGCGGUAGUUCAAUUAAUAUUAUUUGAACCCAAUUUGUUGAGCAUCUAGAAUGUAUAAGAAAUUUCUUCAAAAAAAAAAAAAAAAGAAGAAGAAGAAGAAGAAAAGGUUGUUUAAGAAAUUAACCAACGCAUUUGAAGAUGUAUAUUGAGUUUUCUUGAGUAUAUUGGUUAAGAAUUAGAUCGGCAAACAUUGCACAUUUUUAGAAGUUCUAUGAUCAACCAAGCAAAUGGCAAAUGGGUGGAUUCUGUAUCUGUAUCCCUAGGCUACAUCUUCUACAACUUUUACUUUAUCAAAAAUAUGAACAAACAGAAACAGAUCAUACACUUCCUAAUUUUUCUCUCAUACAUCUAACAAUCAUACAAAUGUUAACCACAUUAUUACGGUAGUCACUUUCAGUAUAAGCCUCUUAAUAAACAAAAAAUUAGAUUAGAUCUCGUUUAGAUUUUCAUUGUGACUUGACCCUGCUUGAUAGGAAAAAAAAAAUUGAAAGAGGGACCCCAAGUUUCUAGAACAAUGAAUGACUCAAUGUGGUCGGUCCCAUAGAGAAAGAUAUCAGCAUCUCUUGUUUAAUUCAUAGUUCGGUAUGAUCCUUUAUCUGAUAUCAUCAACAACCUCAUCAUCCACUACAUGUGUAAUUUGGUUUUGGUUGGUCCUAAAUUGUUAAUCCUAUACCAAUUUUUAAGGAUGCUAGAGAUCAACAGAAGUAAGAAGGGAAUAACAUUUUGCCAAAUUCGUUCAUAUCCCUCUAUUAUUGAUCUUCCUUUUAGUGUCUGGUAAAGUAGGAAAAAGGUAUAACAUUUCUGCACAAAGAACAUACAUUUACCUUUUGUAUGUGUAGAGAGAAGUUACACAAUAUAUAUUUACAGACUCCAUCAGCUCACUCAACGGAAGUACACCCUUUUGCUUCCAUUUUCCAGAAUCUUUCCUUCACUUGGAUGACAUAUUUUAGCCUGUUGCUGUGAAAAGAAUAAAAGGGUUAAUCAAAUGGAGAUGAUAAUAAAAUUGAUCCAAAUUGAUCUACUUAUUAAUAUCUAAAAGACACCGAUACAGUUACGAGACAUGGAUAUGACACAGACAUUGCGACAUGGCAUAUUUAAAAAUAUAGGACAUGAGACAAGGAAAAGACACAUUUAUUAAAAUUUACAUUUUAAAAAAUAAUCAGAAAAAAAAUACAUCACUUUUAUACUAAAAAAAUGAAAGUAAAUGAGUUGAUAGAUUUAUACGUUUAGAAAAACUUAGUUUGGUGUAUUUCACAUUCUAAAGUUAUUAUUAUAUUAUAUGUUUGUUUAGUCUACACAACAAGAUUUUUAUGUUUGUUUAGUCUACACAACAAGAUUUUUAUGCAUGUCUAAUAUAUUUGUUGCAGUAACAAGUAUCCUACACAUGUUGGACAUUAACAUGCUAGCAAAACUAAAAUGAUUGUGCUAUUUGAAUAGCACUAAAUUAUCCAAAUUGUUGUCUUAAUGAAAGAGAUGUUGUGAUUGGGAUUAAUUCAAUCCAUCUUAUGAACAAGUGCAAUCUUUCCAUUUGAUACAGCAAUUGACAAUAACAGAAAAUGCCCUUAUAAUCAAAUUACUACUUAUUCCAGAAAAAGUCAUGCAAGUAUGGAUUUCAAUAUCUGAAAAUAGUUGAAACCUACUAUCUUUUUUACCUUCAAGCUAAACACACUUCGUCCGCCAAGUCUUAGUGGUACGUUAUGUUGUGUCUUUUUCUGAUCCUUGACCAUACUAAAAGUUGAAGGAAUGACUCUACCUUUGCAUUUCUGACUCACAGCAAUUCUCCCCACUGCAUUCUCCUUUCCGGCUUCUACUGUUUUGCAUCUUCCUGUUCUUUCUAGACCUUCCUUUUUCUUCAGAUUUAAGCAACUGUUUUGAUUGUCUCUUUGCAGUAGUAGAGAAGCUUUAGGACGAAGUAUCUGGUUGAAUAACAAACAAGAUUAAGUACAUUUCCCUGACAUUAAGUUUGCACACUGACAAAUUAAAAUUUUCAAUACCAUUUCUCUGACACAAAAUUGAUUGCAAGAAAACCUUGCGUUUGAUUAGGAGUUACCAAAUUGAGUUGAUAAAAUUAGUUUUACAAUAUAGAUAUCUCAAUCUUAAAUUCUAACAGCUUCUCACCUUUGGUUUUGAAGCCUCAGGAUUAGCAUUAUUUAGUUUACCAACCACCCUCCUUGAGUUAGAACUCACACCCUCCAGUUGGACUUUUAAUGUGCUUGACAAAACACUCAAAACUUUGGACUUGUUCAUUGAUGCUUGAGUCAUUCUGGAUAAGCCUCCAACGCAUUGACUGUUUUUCAAGUGAUGUUCUGAUGUUUUGGUGAUGUUUUUAGAACCAAAACUAGGAUUUAGAGAGGAGGAUAUGCUAGAGUUACGGCCACUUGACUGUCUUCGACAGUUAUUAACUUCCAAUCUAGAUGCUUGUCUGGUGGCACAGCUUUUCCUAAGACUUCUCCUCAUAUCUAACAAAAGUUUACUAGAACUGCUCAAUGAUUGACUUGUUACCUCCGUUGGCUUAUGUUGUUGUUGGUGGCCGAUACCGGAUACGAUUGUGCUGCUCGUUCUGCUGUCAACUGACUCCUUUCCCUCUGAACUGGAACCAAUAACUGAAACAUUUGCAACUACGUUUUCAAUAAAACCGCUUGCAUAAGGAACCAAACUUGACUUUGAACUCGAGAUUCCUUUUGAGUUUGUAAAGCUUGAUUUAGAGUUCAAUUUAGUGGUUGAUCCUGAAAUUAGCUUCUCACCUACAACUUCCUUAUUCAUUGCAAAACCUCGACAGUUGCCUUUGCACUUCCUUCCGUCAAAGUCUUUCCCUCUUGAUCUUGAGACAGAGUCAGGAAGGGUUGGAGAAGAAGACGCUUUUAUUAAUUCAAAAUCCAAAGUCUUUUUCUCAUCAUAAAGCUGAGCAAAUACUAAUUUCAGGUCAUGAGACGAACUUUGGUGGACCCUGAUACGUGUAUAUGUAAUUUUAAGAAAAACACAAGGAACAAAAUCAUGAAUUUAUGUAUUUAACAUCAAGUCUAUAAACAGAGAAGCUAAAUGGGUGCUUACUGAUGGUGUGUAUAGAACCAUUUAUCAUCACUGCAUUCAAAGUAAACGCAUACGAGGAAUUAGUACAAUGAAUUAUUAAAAAGAAAAUAUACCAAUCUGUAUGUACCUUUGACCAAUUUAUCAGCACUUACAUGUUCUGGUUGUAGGACUUCCCUUCUAAGGAGAGAUCAACCCACAUGGGUGCUUCAAUUUCUUCCUGACUCAAUCAGAAAUUACACACCAAAAAAAGCCUCAUUGUAUAAGGCUUCUGUUUAAUGGCAUCAAUUUUGAAAAAUAAGGAAGAAACUCUUCCUUAGUUUUAUAAUCUAAUAGCAAGAUAAGUGUUCAAAACAUAGAUAAAUUUUAAAAUCUAAAACAAACAAUUUAUCCUUUUCAAAAAGUAGCUAAGAUUCCAAAAGUACGUCAAAAGAAAAGUGAAAAACCAAAACGAACACAAAUAAACAUUAAACAUCAGUCAUGAACGUCAUCUCUUUUUCUAAACAUAUUGAUUCUCAAUCUGAGAUUCUGAAUCAUUAAAAUGAAGCAAUAUCCAGGAAAAUGAUGCAUUACCUUCUCCCUCGAUUUUCAAGCACAAUUUAAAAGGUAGAGAAACAUGAUAUGGAUGCAUGAGAAUAUUUGAGGAACAGAAAAUUAAUCACAUGAUAUAUAUUAACCAUUUACUCAAGGAACUAGAGGUCAACAUUAAAACCUAGAAAUCAAACAUUGAAAAAUCAAUGAAUCCGAUCUCCACAAGAAAACGAAAACAAAAUAAUAGAAACAAAGAACAAGAAAUAACAUUUAAAAAUUAAACCAAAAGGUGAAAAAGAGAAUAAUCAAUGAUGAAGCGCCAAACCAAACAAAAAUCCCAUUUCAUCUAAAAUAAAUAAAUAAAAUAAAAACAUCAAAGAAAGUGAUGAGAAUAAGAAAUGAAAUCACAAGAAGAAGAAGAAGAGAAGAGAUACCAGGAAAGCCCAAUAAUGAUUGGAGUUGAGAUGCACCAUUUUUGGAGGCAUAAAAUGUUGUGGAAAUGAAGAAAGUGGGAAGGCAAAAGCGAUGGUGUUGGAGGUUUUUGAAAGCUUCAAAAUACCUCCAUUUUCAGGGCGUCCUGGAUUUGGUUGAUUGAAUAAAUAGUUGGGUUGAUGAAAACAUAUGUUCGUUAUAUUAUUAUUAACCAAGAGCGGGGAAUGGACGGUGUAGAUCUUUCAAUUAACUACGCACUCUCUCUCUCUAUAUAUAAAUAACUUUUUUGACCGUUGCAUUUUUCAAACUGUUUCAGCACACAAAAUUACGCUAUUGCCAUCUUUCAUGCCUUUUCCUUAAUAAUAUUUAAUAAUCUUUCAUUUUGAUCAAGCUUAUAAAUAUUAUUAUUCAUAUUCUAUAUUUGAAAAUGUUCCACGUUAAUUUUUACGAAAAAUAUUAAUUUACACGUUUAAUUAUAGAAGUUAUAUCGAUUUGAACUUUAAACUAACUAGCAUAUUACCAUGUGCAUUUGCACGUGUAUUUUUGUAUACAUUUAGUUUUGAUUCUUGUUUAAUAUUACUAUAUAAGUUUUAUGUGCUUUUGUAGUUUUUUCUAUACAUUUCACAUGUUCUUUUGCACAUAUUGAAGAAGAAAAGAAGAUUGUUGUUAAUUAUAGCCUGUGUGCGUGAUAAUAUUGCAGAUUAAGGAAACCACCGUUUAGCGUGCAAUAAGCUAUAUAACGUGGUGAGAUUUAGAGUAUGAGAUGCAAACAAUGAGACUAUGAGUAUUACAAGAUUUUCUAUUCGAUUUCAAGUAUAAACUUAAAAUAGAUUUCUUGGUGAGUUGAACGCAACGAUUUUAGCAUUAUUUAUGAUUGAAUAAUGUUUAAGUUGAGCUUUUGACGAACAAUCAAAAUAACUUAUAUUUAGUGUUUUUGACAAAUAAAUUUUAUGAACAAUUAUUUAUACUAAUGAAUCUCCUACCUUAGUGACAUGAAUGAUCUUUUUCCAAGAUUAUGCCGUGAGAGUGUUGAGCAAUCAAGUGUAUAAUAAACAUAGAGUAAGGAAUUAUAUGCGAUGAAUAUGAUUGAGAAAUUAGUUUUUCAACGUUCCUUCCAAACCAAGCAUAAAUAACAUUAAAGUGUCCUACUAUUAAUUAAGACAAACUAUCUUUUGACAAUGAAAUACUUUGUUUCUAGAUGUAUAUGAUGUCGUUAUACACAACAAACUUACUCUUAUUUCUAAGAUUUACUUACAUAUUCACUUAACUAAAACUUAGCAACUUAUUCUUUCGAGUAGUUAGCUUGUUGUACUUGAACCAAACUUUCAAUUAACUUGAACUUCUUUUUUAACUUAAAAGAACUUAAGUUUACUCAUUAAAUUUAUACUUUUCUAGAAUGUUAGUUCAUCUCUUCUUAACCCAUUGCAAGAUUUAGCUACUCAUGACGAAGGAAAAGAAUAUAAUAGAUUAAAAGUGAUAGUGUGAAUGUUCAUAUUGAGGAAUAUAGAAGAUUUCUCACUCCUUAUUUCACUGUACAACACAAAAUUAAAUACAAAGUGAAAAAUCAAAUUGAUGUCAAGGAGCUGAUCACACUUUCUUACUCUCCUUGGCUCCAAUGGUGAAUGCAUGAUUGAAGAAUUUUAACAAAGGAUCCUAUUGUAUGAUCUUGAUAUAUUCUCCUGCUUCUUUUGGCUUCCAUGUGUCCAUGUAUGACCUUCACGAGUAUCCUUCAUUAAGCAUGUUUCCUUGGUUUAAGGGAGAAUAUUUGUAUUUGUCAAUGACAUAAUAGCUUUUGCUUUUCUCUUUCCUAUAAUUUUAAAAUUAAAUAAGAAAAAGGUAGCCUUGUUUCAACAACAGCGGGGAUAGCUCAGUUGGGAGAGCGUCAGACUGAAGAUCUGAAGGUCGCGUGUUCGAUCCACGCUCACCGCAUUCUUUUUCUUGUUUUUCUCAUUUAAUGAAUCACUCAUACGUCGUCGUUUCCAUUGUCAUAAUCCAUGAAGCGCUUUCAGCCCACAAUUACCACUUUCAAUAUCGGCCCAUUUUAAUUCUAUUCAAGUUUGAAGAAAAUCUAAUUAUACUCAGGAGAAAAUCUAAUUAAAUCGUUUUUUUUUCUUUUUUCGAUAACCAUUAGUUUUUGUGUUUAAGUUUGUGAAAAUUGUUUGUUUUAUUAUUGAUUCUAAAUUUUAUAAAUUUUUUUAAAAUAAAUAAAAGUUAUAUUCUAUUCUAUCUUGAUUGUAUGAGGAAAUGACGAGAAGUUAUUUAUGUUGAAGGAUGACAUGUCUUCUAAUUUUAUGACUGUCUUUGAUGAAGUUGCAAGAAUAUCUUCAAUAAUUUGGCUGACAACAUGACACCCAACAACUUCCGGUGCUUCCUUUCGUGUUCCGUAGAAAUUUCUCAAGAGAAACUCUACCAAGGUAGUAGUGUUAUUUGUUGGGGUUGAAGAAAGUUCUCAUCUUCUUCAUCAAUAAACUUAAACUUACAUGACUUUCUUCUUUCCUUUCUUUCUUUUUUUCUUGAGUCUUUCAUCCUCGUGUAAUUUUGAUGGAAUUUUAACUUCUUUGGGAUAGAACUUGAUUUUCUUCUCUUUUUUUUUGGUGAGUCACGGACGUCCACCCUUUAUCAUCAUCUUCAAUAUACUCAUUUUUAUACUUUGCGAGUCAUCCUUUGGAACUUUCUAUUGAAACUCAACAACUAUAGCGUGAAUAUCCCAAACUAGAUUAAACUUUUUCUUUUAAUCAUUGUUUAAUAAAAAAUUUUGAGACGAUUCACAAAUUGUCACGCCAUUUACUAAAUUAAAGAUGAAAAAUACAAAUAAUUGAAUUUGGGACUAAUUAAAAAAUGACAUGUAUCCCAAAUUAAAAUUAAAGACAUAUAUUGACAACUCUAAUGAUGCCACAUGUUUUCAUUAUGACCGUUGGAUUAAGUUAAUUAUUUGAGUUCAAUUAAAUAUUAUUUACUUGAGCUAAAAUUUAAUUGAGCCCAAAAUAAGCUUAAUUUAGUCCAAAGGUUAAAUAUGACACAAAUCCAUGUGGUUGAGUCAAUUGGUUUGAUCUAUGGAUCAACCAGCAUUACAAGAAAUAAGAUUUUUUCCUGACGUAGCAAUACAUCGUUGAAAACCCUAACUAACGUCGAGGAAGGUUACUGCAACAUCGCGGACCAUGUCGGUAGGCACGUCAAGGAAAGCACGUCGGGGACAUUUUUCUCAACAUGACUCACGUCAACGACGAGAAAAUUUUUUUCGCGCAUGCUGCAGCACGUUGCAGACGGCUUCUACAACUUGUGCGUCGCGGAAGGCUUUAAAUAUAUAUUUUGUUAUUUUUUUCAUUCAUUACAAAACAAUAUAUAUGAAAAGAGACCCACUAAAUUCUUCCAUUUAUUUAUGUCAUUGCUAGAUAUGGUUGAUGUUGCAAAUAAAUUAAUCUAUUUCCAAGUGAUUAAUUGUUUUUGGAGAAUGAAAUUUGACAAAAGAAGGAAUGAAGAUGAGUGAUUCAGAGAAGGAAGAGAGAGAGAGAUGGGCGAUUCGAAGAAGGAAAACAUGGAGAAAGUAGAGGGAAGGAGAGAGGGAGAGUGAGGAAUAGUGACAAAGGAGAAAGAGGGGACGAGAACACUUCCGACAGCGACGGCGAAGACGGACGACCGGCAACAUGGAUCUCCUCCUCUCCAUCUCUCUCAGACGAUUUUCUCUUCCUUUCGUUUCGCAAUCGGUUCUAUGUUGAAGGGGGAAGAAAUAGAGUAGUCUUUCUCCGACGUCGGACAAACUAACGUUGUGGAAAGAUUAAAUAAUGAAUUCAUUAUUUAAACAUUCUCCAACGUGCACCUAUUAAACGUCGCGGAAAGGUGACCAUUGUCACUUCAAUGCGUACACUUACAACUUUCAUUUUUUUCGAUGUGUGGCAGAUAGACGUCGGAAAAGUGAAGAUAUUAAAUUUAAUUUUAAACUUUCCGCAACGUCUAAUUCUUUUGUGUCGUGGAAAGUAAAAGUAUUAGAUUUAAUUUUGAACUUUCCGCGAUGUCGGGUUCUCGUGUGUUGAGUAAAUAUUGAUGUUUGACAAUUUUAAAAUGUAAUCAUAAUACAAAUUCUAAAUUGAUUUACUAAUAACGAUUUAAAAGUUUAAUAGAAAUGUGGCAUAAUAUUACCAAAUCAAAUUUGAUGAAGUGUGUGAACAGUUACAAAAAGUUUGGGGAUAUAAAAUGAAAAUUUCUAAAUAGAAAAAAAAAAAAUCAUCACUCAAACCUUAUGUGAAUUAAUUUUGACACACACACACAUAAAAAGUUGGUGUUAAAAGAAAAAUGAAGAUUGUGAAAAGAAAAGAAAAGUAGGGCAUAGAUAAAAUGUGGAUAGAAAGAGAUGAGUUGUAGAUGCAAAAAAAUCUUUAGAAACAAUAUGAUUGGCUAACUAAACCCUCUCACUACCCCACAAAAUUUCUCAAAAUCUUUCAUUCUUCACCACUCAUCUUCCUCAUUUCCUCAUAAUAUUCCCCCACUUUCCCCCUCUCUCACUCACACACGACUGCCCAUUCCUCCAUUCUUUCUCACAACUCAACCACAGACCUUCAACUACCCAUGGCCGCCACUGCCGCCACCGCCACCCUCCUCCGGGCCACCCCUUUUCUUGGCCAGGCCAGAGCCUCUCCUCAAAACCCCCUCAGAGAUGUCGUCGCCAUGGGAACUGGAAAAUACACCAUGGUCUUUACUCACUCACUUACUCUGUCUUUUUUUUUUUUUUUUUACAUAUAUAUAUCUCUCUCUGUUUUUGGGGUGUUCUUGAAGAUUGAUGGUUUUUGUUUUCCAAUUUUGGAUAGAGUAAUGAUUUGUGGUAUGGACCCGAUAGAGUUAAGUACUUGGGGCCGUUUUCAGCUCAGACUCCAUCGUACUUGAACGGUGAGUUCCCUGGUGAUUAUGGAUGGGACACUGCUGGCUUGUCCGCCGAUCCCGAGGCCUUCGCCAAGAACCGAGCUCUUGAGGUAGUUCAUUUUAGUUUAUCUACUCUCUUAUUGUUUUCUUUUGAUCUUUGUAUGUCCAACUGGGUAUUCUACUUCUAAAAAUGACUAUUUUGGUACUCAACAUAAAAUUUAGAGAACAGUUUUGCUUUAAUGAUUAAAAUUUGAGCAAUGAGUUAAGUUGUAGAUUCUAGAAUUAAUGUGUUGGGUUAGAAAGUUUCUGUUUGGGAUGCUGAGAUUAAGUACUUUGGUAAAUAAAAAUUAAAAAAAAAAAAAGAAAGGAAAUUCUUCCAUAAAUGUACAAAAUUUGCAAUGCUAGCUGCGUUAUUUAGUUGAUUGGACACCUCUGAUAACUUUAAAACUAAAUGACGAUCAAAUUUGCAGGUAAUCCACGGAAGGUGGGCAAUGUUGGGCGCUUUGGGUUGCAUAACACCCGAAGUCUUAGAAAAAUGGCUUAAAGUGGACUUCAAGGAGCCAGUAUGGUUCAAGGCAGGAUCCCAAAUCUUCACAGAAGGAGGUCUAGACUACUUAGGCAACCCGAACUUGGUCCACGCCCAAAGCAUUCUAGCCGUGUUGGGGUUCCAAGUGGUCCUCAUGGGUCUAGUAGAAGGGUUCCGCAUCAACGGCCUUGAUGGCGUCGGCGAGGGCAAUGACCUGUACCCAGGCGGUCAAUACUUUGACCCACUUGGACUGGCUGAUGACCCUGUCACCUUCGCUGAGCUGAAGGUGAAGGAGAUCAAGAAUGGGCGUCUUGCCAUGUUUUCCAUGUUUGGAUUCUUCGUUCAAGCCAUUGUGACCGGAAAGGGUCCUCUUGAGAACCUUCUUGACCACCUUGAUGACCCUGUGGCUAAUAAUGCUUGGGUUUAUGCCACCAAGUUUGCCCCUGGCUCAUAAGUAUUUCACAUUAAUUAUUGAAAUUGAACAAGCUAAGUUUGUUUGUUGUGUAAAUUGUUUGUAGUUCUCUGGGCGUUUUUUUUUGGUGUGGGUGGAUGUGAUUAUAAUUAGAUGGAUGAGUAUUAAGGUGGAUCAAUGGACAUUAAUUCUCACUUGAUCAAAUGACUUUAAUGUUCUUAAUCUUAGUUAUUACAUCAUUUAAUUAGAGGUAGUCUUGAUUGUAGUGAUUUGAUCAUUUAUUUUUUGGUAGUUACUUAGCAAGUAAAUAUAUAUGUUUUAAAAGAACCCAACGUGAUAAAAGAAAACAAAGAUGUUUUAAUGUCAAUUUAUAUGGGAACGGUAAAGGAGUCGAUAGAGAGAGAUGGAAAUAAUGCUUGUUGAUGUUUUUACUAAUUGCAUACAUUUCUACAAAGAGACAGCAAAUAAUGCUUGUUGAAACACAUUGGUAACUAAUUGCACACGAGAUUUUGGUUCCAUGUUAGGGAUUCUAUUUUAGGAUUUUAUUACACACCACUAACUUUUGAAUUUCAUCCUUGAUUUAGAGUAGGCUAAAUUAUAUAUAAAAAAUUUCAUCCUUGAUUUAGAAUAGGCUAAAUUAUAUAUAAAGAAUGCUAUUAAAUUUUACCGUUGCACUUGACACGUUUAUUUUACAUAUAUUGUAUAAGAUUCCAGACAGACAUUAAAUAUUUUUGUUUGUUUCAUAUUUCAAAACUGAAUGUUAUUUUCCACGAGAUAUUAAAACUCAUUCGACAAGGUUCACAUUUUUUAAUAUCCUCCAAACAUGUGAGGUUUUUAUACCUAAAAAAGGAAUGAAGUCUUGACUAAUUAAUAAUUAAUAUCAAUGAAUCAUACUUUUAUUAAUUUUAAUUAAUUAUUAAAUAUAAAUAUAUUAUUAGACUUAAUAAAUUUCAAGAUAUUUUAGUAAAUAGUAAAUCUAAAUAUUUUUGCAAAUGAGGGACUUAAAAAUAAUGUUUUAUAAUAGCUAAUUGGGAAUUUUUAAAUAGUAUAGCAUUUACUAUAACUCGAGGCAUUAUUAUUGUUUUUCAUAACGGUGAGUUCAAACGACCUAUGAAUACAUUCAAAUUUUAUAUAUCUAAAUUCAAAAUAUUUUUACUAAAAAAAAUUCAAAAAAAUUAAUACUAUGAAACAAUAAGACUCAAAAUUAGGAGUCAUUAGGAUAGAUUAAAAAGCUGAACCAACCUACUAAAAUUGCGGGCAUUUAUUUUUAAAAAGUUCAAACCAAUAUUUUAUUAGAAAGAAUUAAAGGCUUAAAUCCACUGACCAACCAUAGUCUAUUUGAUCGAAAAAUGGACUCCCACCCGAUCCGACCCGACCUCACCACUACCCAAUACCAUCUAACUUUCAUGGGCCAACAACACAGCCCAAAAACACAAUUCGUCGAUCGUCAUUCGACUACAGUUGGAAGCACAAACUUCUCGCUGUUUUCGUCUUUAGGGUUUUCGUUGUCAAUCACCGCAGCUCUUAUCUCUCAGCGAUGGCGAAGAACAGGAAUAAGAAGCGAAGUGGGGCUGUUUCAAUGGACGUAACGGAAAAUUCCGUUCAAGAGCUCCCUCAAGGUACACUUUAGUUAUUUCAAAGGGAAUUAUACAGAAUAGUAUCAGAUGGACGCAUGUUUGUACUUGACGUUCUUGUUCGUUGUUGCUCUUUCAGAUAUUACUAGGACUCUUCUUUGUUUAAUACUUGUUUUCUUUGAGUAGUUUUGAAGUUUAACUAACUUAUUUUCCGCUUGAAUCUAUAGCGAUGGACGUGUCUAUGUCUUCAGUUCAUAAACCAGCUUCUGGCGCUCUCGAUUUGUAAGCUUCUAUCUGCGAAUUUUGGUUUUUUUUGGGACAUGGUUUCACGCCAAUUCAUUCUGCAUUUUUUUUUUCGUUUUUUCAAUUCAUGUGAUUUUUUUUUAUCAUUGGCUCUGUUGAAUUUUUGUGUGUCGAGAGACUUGAGGAGCUGUUUCUCAUGAAGAAUCCUUAAUCCCAAUUUUUUUUUUUCAUUUUGGACCGGAUGAGGCUUCUAAGUUCGCUGACUAGAGAAAAUUGAGCAUGUAUUAAUGAUCUUACCACAGAAUUUGGUGAAUAACACCCAGAAAACUUUUAGUCUCAUUCUGCUAACUAUUCAUAUUUAGCCACAUUACUAUUGAUCUUAAUAUUUUAUUUAGUGGGUCACGUAUAACAUCAUAUGCUACAUCUUUAUAGGCACUUGAGGAGAAGUCAUUGCUUGUAAAUAUAUAAUAGAUAAAGAACUUAGAAGAUAUACUAAGUCUUUUGAGGUACUUCUACUUGGACCCUCGCACCCUCCCUCUUUAGAUACCAAUCUAAUCCUAAUUCACUUAGCAAAUGCCUACUUUCUCCUUUUCCACUCCCUCCAUUUAUAACCAAAUACCCUCAAAUCUUAACAACUUCCUUAACCAAUUGAUUAUUACUAAUAUAUCCCCUAAUGUCCCUAAUAACAUUCCUGUCAAUUUAAUUUCCCACAAAUGUGUGAAGCAUCUGAUUCAUGCACGCACCCCUCUGAUUCGUUUCUAGCCACUUGAACUUAUCAGCAAAGACGGCAAAUCAGUAAUUGAAGGAGUGCCAGAGCUUUCCUACCACCGUAGCCCUUGAUAUUUUAUCGUUCCUGCAUUAGUAGCAUGUAAAAUGAUACUAUUGGUUUCAAUUAUAUUGAAGGCACACGUAUAUUUAAAGUGGUAUGCUCUACAAUGUUCAACUUUUAAUGCCUUAAGGAUUAUGAUUGAAACCCACCCAUGUUUUCCAAACAGUACUAGAAUUUUAAGGGCACAUUAGUAAUUAGCUAGAGUGUUUUUAUACUUCUUGUUAAUAAAUAUACUUCUUUGGGUUUGAUUCUCUCUUAUCUAUAUCUUAUAGCGUGUUUGGAUUGUCUUUUUAAGUGUUUAUAAACAUUUUUUUUUAGACACUUGGAAACAAUCCAAACAUGCACUUAGUUUUAGCUGGUUUUCUCAAUUUGGUUGGUGUUGAAAAUUAAAGCUGCCAUUUUCCUUGAUCUUUACUCGUUGUUGUGACAGAAAGUUGAAAAAGGGAAGGCCAAUGAAGCGAACAAAGAAUGUUAGGAAGACAAAAGCCAUCGCGAAGGCCAUUUCUAAGAGCGAGCAAUCAAUGGAGAAAAUUUUGAAAAAUCAUAGCAAAACUACGAGAAUACAAUCUGCAAAAACAUUGUAUGAAUGAUAGCAUCAUUUUAUAGAAAAUUUCCCUUGAAAAUUGUAAAAUUUAUUUAUUUUUGUUCUGCUCAUAGGUUCUUAUUACACUCUCUACCCACUCACCAUUUAGUUUUCAAUUGUAUCAAUCUAAUCUGGCAUUUAUUUAUUUUAGAGAAUGGAUUGACAUUUUUGUCUAUGCUCACUAGCCACUAACAAAAUGCUAUAUUUGCCAAUUUGAUUGCCAUGGAUCAAUAUAUAUGGAGAUAUCAGACAUUAAUUUAUUAAAUUUUUUAUCAAAAACAAAAAAAAUAAUAAUAAAAUAGGAAUAUUCUAUGUAGCCUUGGGGAUGAUCUAUUUCUGGGUCACCUCAAUCAUCCUUGCGGAACUCAAAAACGUGUUAUUUUGCCAAUGCUGAGUGUAAUUCAACUUGCAAUUUGCAAAUAUACUAAAACAGAGUUAGUCUCAUUUUGCAAAUCUUAAAUUUAAGAUUUAGUUCUUAUGGUUAGUAUGAUGUUAUGUUAAUUUUUUUAUAUUUUUUUUAUCAAACUUCGUGUGUUUGUGUUUGUUAUCAAUCUACAGACUGGUUUCCACUUUUAGUUAGAGAAUUUGUUAUAAUCUCAUUCACAACGUAUACUUCAUAAUUGGAAUCUUCUUGUAUGUCUUGUUGAUGAUCUCCAUCAUUUAGAAUUGGUUGAUCAUCUUUCAACAAUGGGUAAUCUUUUUUAUUCUUGUAUAGAUUGUGUGAUUUGAUUCCUACUUCUCAACUCUUCAUUCAAUCGAGUUAUGCAAUUCUUUCAGCUGAGUUAUGUAAUUCAUGAAUUUACCUAACUCAACUGAAUUUUGUAUUCUUUAUAAAAACCAUGCAAAAGAUUUCAAUAUGGCCAAGAAUGUGAAAACCGACCAAAUCCUAAAGUUGAAAAUUAUUGAAAGAUGCAUUAGAUAACUCUUUUUCUUUUUAGAAAAAAUUUAAAACGUAUGACAAAAAUAAGAUAAAAUGUCACAAAAACAUAAUAAAUACACAUUUCUUUUCACAAAUAUUUUUUCUUUGAGCAAGCGCAAAAGUGUGAAGCAAGAAAAAAGGGAAGAUAAAAGAGUCAUGCGAACGAGAGAAUAUAUUAAAUUAUUUAAAGACAGAAGGAUGAUAUAGAAAGAAAAACAAAUAAAGAUAUAAUAUGUUUAAAUCCAAAAUUUAGAUAUCAAAUGAUAAAGAGAUACGAGAGGACUUUCCUUAUUUUAAGUGAACCCUUAUUACGAUAAUAAGAAUAAACCUAAAUUGAUGAGCAACCUUAAGAAAACUAAACAAACUUGAUUUAGGAGAUUGAUGAUAGAUCAAAAAAAAAAGAGAGAACUUGUUCCUAAUUUCAACCUUUCGAACUUUAUACAAUCUAACCGAUCAAACUAGAUUGAAAGUUCUACAUUAUAACACAAGAAUACAAAUACAACGUAUAAAAGAUUGAGAAAAUAAAACAUAUGAUAAAAGUUCAUUCAAAUUUCGAUUCUAUUUUUGAAACUUAAGUAAAUAAGUAUUUAUAGUAAUUGAAAAAGAGAAUUAUGAAAUGUUACAACCUUUUCAACUACACUCUCAUAAAUGUGUAGAUAUAGAAUUAAAUAAAUACAUAACAUUAAAUUCAUUUGUGAUGCUGAGUUUUAAGUAACAAUUGUCUGGUUGAAAAAUUAAGGAGAGGAAAAUAAAAAGACGCCGUCUGUGGGGAUCGAACCCACGACCACGUGGUUAAAAGCCACGCGCUCUACCACUGAGCUAAGACGGCCUUGUUGUUGUUAGACUCUAACAAAGUCGUAAUUUGAGUUUUUUCAUUUUCCUUCUUCUUUCUUUGUGUUUGUGGGCAGAAGGAAGGAAGAAAUCUGGGAUUGACAACUAACAACCAGAAAAAUAUCUCAUUCAACAUCCCACCACUCUCUCACUUCUCAACUAACUCUCCUCCCAACUCCACACUUUUUCCCUAAUUUCCCACAUGAGUUUCCUUGUGAGCAAUUCUGGUGCUUUCAUCAUCAAUUCCAUCCAAAUUUCAACCUCUAAACACCCUAACACCCCAGGUAUUACCUUUCAUUUCGCUCUAUAACUAUGGGGGAGUUGCGAAUAUUUAUAGUUUCAAACAAGUCACCCAAACACUAUUUGAAGAUGUACACAAUUUUUGGGUAUUCAAUGGUAUAUCCAAUGAGAAAAUUUAUGGUUUCAUGAACUCUAGGGCUUGUUUUCAUCAUUAUGUAUUCAACUCUCUUUUAUACACAGGCUCACUGGUUUCUUUAGGUAAACAUGUCAUGCCCAUGAAAUUUCUUGGGACACAAUCCGUAGCUGAUGAUCAAUGUAAACAUAUUGAGCUGGUGAAGAAUAGAAACAGCCGCAAUUAUUUUCAAGCUAUGGCUUUUGUAAAUGCCAUUUCUGGUAAGGCUUUCGCACGAACACUUUUUAAUUUCACAUGUUUUGAACACUUGUGUUAAUGCAAUAGAUGUGUUACACAUUCAUAGAACACUUGUUGAGAAGACCAAAGAGAUGCAUAUAUAUAAAGAUAAUAAUAGAUUUUUGUUACCAGUAGUAUCACCGUUAAUUAAAUUCUGUGAUUAUGGUUAUUAUUUGUAUGUCAAAUACAUCAAACUAAUUGUUUAACGGUAUAAAUGCAUCAACUCAUUUAUUUUGAAUUUUCUUCUAUUUUAAAAAUGAUACACACGCAUAUAUAUGUUUUUUUUUUUUAAAAUGUAUAUUUUAAUAAUUGUGUCCUUUCUUUGUCAUGUCCUAAAUUUUUAGAAGAUGGCGCGUCACUGUGUUUGUUGCACGGCUCGUAUCCAUAGUUAUGCUUCUUAGGGCUUAUGCUCUCUUCCUGAGGUGGAAGAUGGUUCUACUUCAAUCUUGUUAUAAUAAUUUAUUCACGUUCUUUUUCAAUUCAUUGUUUGUUCAUUCUUUAACUAUGAUUGGUAAUUUCAUAAGUAACUGUAAGCAAUCAGGUGUAUAGGAUCAUAGGCAACCUCUUAUUUUCCUUUUAAAUCCUGCUUUUCACUCCAAGUAAAAUAGGCUGUACUUUACCUGCUUCAAUGCUGCUGUGGUUUAGCAUGGAUUUUCUUAAUUUUAUUUCGUUUUCAAUAUUCCAGCAACAAGUUUCCUUGCAGUAGACGCCGCAAAGGCUGAAACUUUAAAGCAUAUGUGGGUAAGAGUUAGUCGUGUAUUGUGUUUUCUAAAGCCACAUGAAUCUAUAUUCUUUUGAGACUUUAAUUCCCUAAAUUCCAUUUAUUUAACUACUUUUAAAGAUUUUCUAUAUUACUUUUCACCAGUUCCUUUUAUAAUCUUGAUGAAAUUUAUAUGUAUUUCUAUUUUCCUUUGGACAUAUAGUCGUGAGAGGUUUCUUUAUUUGUAAGUGAGUUUCAAUUGUUUAUCAGUUUCAAUUGUUUAUCCUUUAUGAUGACCGAGUUUUUUAUUUUUCAUUUAUUUAGUUGUUUCACUACUUUUUGGGGUGAGGUAUGGGUUUGCCAGAUAAGAAUGGUCAACUCAUUAUAACUUCAAUAGAAAACAAAACUUGGUAAUAGGACUGCUCUUUAGCAUUACUUUCCAGCUUUGUUUGCUUGGUUAAGAUGUUGGUCUCUAUCAGUUGGAUAUCAUGGUAAAUGAAUUAGUCUGCGUAUAUGUUAUUGGUGUAUAACUGUAAAUUAUAUCAGGAACUAGAAUUAUUUUCCUUCAAGUCAGGAAGGAGCUGCUUCUGUUUAUACUCUGGCUGAUGGUGGCAUGGGAGAUUGGUUUGGAGGCAUCUUGUAUUCGGCUGGACAACAGGCUAAUGUUGCAGUUCAGGAUCAGUUAUCUGCUCUUAGUUUUACAAGGUCCAGUCUUGUUUUUCUGCCAUUUACAUUUCAUGUCUUUUAAGGAUUUGAAUUUGAUAGUAAACGGCUUUUUUUUCUAUUUCUCUGCCCUUGAUCACUUAUUCCUUUUUACAGUUUGGCAGUAAUUUUUGGGGCAGGGUUCGUAACAAGCCUUUCCCCUUGCACACUGAGUGUUUUGCCUUUGACCCUUGGUUACAUUGGUAAGCAUCUCAUACAUAUAUUCUUGGAAUCUUGGUAUGUUAUUUUCCUGUCAUAUGUUGAUGUUGUGAUCCAAUGGAACUUUGUAGGAGCUUUUGGAUCAGGGAAGAGCAAAGCAGAGGUAAAUUACUUUCUACACGUGUUCCAAUUUUCUUCUCUUUGCUCUUGUGAUUGUGGUAUCAAAUUAUAGAAAUCUCCAAAUCAAUUGAGCGCUAGAUGUUUGAUGAUACAUUCAAGAUCCUAGGCUCAACCCUCUAGGUUGAAAGUUUAGGCUCUGCUUGAUAAGCAUUUGAUUUUGGUUUUGGUUUUUUGUUUUUUAAAUAAUAAGAUUAUAAACACUACUUCCACCCAUAUAUUUCUAUAUUCUAUUAUCACUUUCUACUAACAUUUACAAAAAACAAGCCACAUUUUGAAAAUUAGAAAAAAAAAGGUUUUUGUUAUUAAAAUUUGACUAAGAAUUCAAGUGUUUAUUUUACAAAAGUUAACCAUAAUUGAAAUUUUUUAUAGAAAACGAGUGAAGAUUUUAAAUGCAGAAAACCAAAAACCAAAAUCGUUAUCAAGCAGCGCCUUAAUAGUUUAUAACACUGGUUGUCCUUAAUAGUUUAUAACAUUGGUUGUCAUCUGUUAGUUGGGCUUGGGGUCAACAAAACGUUAAUGAGAUAAGUAGGGAAGGUCGUGAAUCUAUUGUAAAGAGUGGGGCCCUUCAACACCCUGGUAAUAGAAAAAUAAUAAUAAUAAACCAGGACUAGAAAGAAACUAUUCAAUGGUUCUUCGAUGUCAGAGUUUUCAUAUCCUUUGCCUGUCCAGAUUUAUCAUCAUUGUACCUAUCACAUUUCUAUUGAAAUAUAUGCAUCAAUGUGAGCGGAUGAGUAAGGGAACAGUUAUAGAAUAAUUCUAAGGGCACAGUGGUAAUUAGCUUUUGGUGCUCUGGUUAUGAGGGAAGUUGGACACCUUAGGGGAGAUCAUUUUGAUAAGUCCGGAAUCAGUGUAUUUGUUGUAGGAGAGAGAUGACAAAAGGCUAUUGAUAUUGUAAUUUCUUAAUUGAUAUUGCAAUGUAGUAAUCCUUAGUGUUUUUCACAUAUUUUCUGUGUUUGGAAUCCCGAUAGAGUCCUUAUACUCUGAUGGUUGGGGUGAAUAUGCAUAUAUGUGAGAUGGUUUUCAUAGAAAUGGUUGAAAACUGUGCUGAUGGUCCUUGCUUUGAGAAAGGAAGUUAAAUGGAAUUUGAUCUCUUCAUAUUUUCAGGUUGUUGGAAACUCUGUUGCUUUCUCAUUAGGACUUGCUACCACCCUAGCGCUGUUAGGUAUAGGAGCUUCUUUUGCUGGAAAGGCAUAUGGACAGAUUGGCCAAGGAUUACCAUUGGCUGCUUCAGGCUUAGCUGUUAUUAUGGGCCUAAACCUACUGGAGGUAUGAUUAGAUAUUCGAAGGGUACUUUGGUAUAUCAUUACCUAUUAUUCAUAAUCAUCUCUUUUGUGGAAAGAAUAAUUAAAUUUGUCUCAUUAUAAAUGUUUCACUUUGUUGUAUUUGUUAGUGGGUUGCAGAACCUGAUACCCAAGUACUCGACUGCUUUUUUCACAAUGUCGUUUUGGAAUAGUCUUCUGAUGGAUUGAUUCUAUAAUUUGUCACGAAAUGCAGAUAAUUGAGUUGCAAUUACCCUCAUUCUUCAACAAUUUCGAUCCCCGUUCUGCUGCUGCCAACUUUCCAUCAAGUAAUUGGCCUCUCCAUUUCUUUUGGCUACUGGUUACUUACCUACCUGGAUCCCUAACAAGAUUUUAAAUCUGAUGUAUUAGGCGUGCAAGCAUAUUUAGCCGGGCUAACAUUUGCUUUGGCUGCAUCGCCUUGCAGUACUCCUGUGCUGGCUACUUUACUUGGAUAUGUAGCUACAUCCAAGGUGCCCAAAGUGUUUCCUACACUGAUUCGACUUUGAUCUUAGUUUCAAUAGAUUGAAUUGUAUGAUUAUUAAAGAAUCCUUGAAAUUAAAAAAUGUCAUGUAUAUAUGAUAUUGACCGGUUGUGACUUUGAUUGUGUUCUCUCUUAAACCUAGCCUUGGAGCUUUGAAACCUUUUUAGUGAAUCAGUAGGGCGGAUAACCAACCUAAUUGUGGAAGAAGGAUGAAAUAAUCCAUUUUCUUAGUGUUCCCUGUUAAUGACUACUCUCUUUUAUAACAGGAUCCCAUCAUCGGGGGUAGCCUCCUUUUGACAUACACAACCGGUUACGUCGUGCCGUUACUUCUUGCUGCCUCAUUUGCUGGAGCAUUGCAGGUAAUAUGGUUAUACUAGGAAGGAGAACUUACCUGCAUGUAGAUAUUGUCUGAAUAUACUAUAAGUUUAUCAUGUGACUUUUUAAAAGUUUUCCCUUUUGUUACUUUUGAUGCUCUAAUUCAUUGGAGAUUGCUGUAGUCUCGGGUUUUAUUAUCUAUAUGACUCUUGUAUGCCUGCAGAGUCUUCUGUCUUUCCGCAAGUUCUCAUCAUGGAUUAAUCCUAUAAGGUAAUUCCUCUUAAACUCAUCUUUACUUAAUUAAGAUUACAGAUCAAAUGUUCAAUUUCAAAAGUUUGGAACCACUAUGAGUUGACUUAGAGUCUUAAUAAACUACAUGAGUUUAUUCCAUUCCAUGGCGUCCAUUUACCUAAGAAUUAAUUUCGUACGAGUUUUCUGUGUCCAUUUACCUAAGAAUUAAUUUCAUACGAGUUUUCUGAGUUAGAUAGAUUGUUUCAUGAGAUUAGUCAAGGAUCUCAAGGUGCAGAUAAGUUGGCUUGUGAAGAUAACAAAACAUUCAAAGGUUUGGUUUUGAACACAGGAAAAAAUAAAGAUGUUCCAACUUCAAAACAAUAUCAGUUUUAUUUUCUAAAAAUGCAUAUAAAAGAAAUGCACCUCUUCUAUAAAGUUAUUCUAAACUCACUUAAAAGAAAAAAUUCCCUUAAUAUAGGACUGUUGCAACGAAAACACAUCCAAGAAAAAGUCAGGUUUGCUGGGAAAAAACGGUGCAUAAGAACUAAAUAAAUCUUGCAAACUAAUUACACAUUAGAUGCAAUAAUAAUGUUUGAAUUCCAAGUAAGUAAGAUGAAGCAACUAAAAUCUAUAAAGGGACGUCUUUUUGAUAACCGCCACUCUGACGACUAUUAGAAUCAAAUAAAAUACAAAACUGAAUUAUCUUUUCUUAAAUAUAAACAAAAUUCAUCGAAUGGUAGAAGUAUUUAAUCUAACUAUUAAUCCCAUAAAAAAUUCACCCUUUUCAUCGUAUCAUAAAAUAUGCAACAAGAUUUCACAUUAAAGUAUGGAUUAAGUUUUUGAGUUGAUAUGUUUUGGUAGAUGAAAUAUGAUAUGUUUUGAAGUGGGUUUUGUUUGUUGUUUGAUGUUUGAUGUAUAUGCAGUGGCGCAUUACUAUUGGGUGGAGGUCUAUAUACGUUCCUGGACAGAUUAUUUCCAGUCACAAUGGCAAUGUAAGAUUGAUUUAUUAAUUAUGUAAAGAAAUAUCUAUAUAUAUAUUCAAAGUCCUUAGAUAAAAUGAUAAGAUUAUGUUGCUCUCUCAUCUCAUUCAAUGGUCCAUAUUUUUCUGUGUUUCUUUUGGCCUCACUAUCUUUAAUUUCAUGUGGAUAAAGAUGAACCGUCAUAAAUAUCCCAAUCUCAAGUUUCAAAGAUAAAUCUAUAUUACCGACUUGAAGACUUCUCUAUGAUUUGGAUUUGUUUUAGCCAUGAAUUUUAUUUUAAAUGUUUGUUUCUUAGAAUUUAUGAAAAUUAUUGUGAAAGAUGGUGAUAAAACGUGCCAUAAAUCAAAUGAUUAUAUCCAUGAAGUCCUUGUUUUCACUAUAUGAGUUGUUUUGGGUGGAUUUUGAGAUGGGUUAAAAAAAAGUAUAAAAGUAAAAAGACAAAAAAAAAAGGGUAAGAUUCUUUUCCUAUGCUUUUGUUAAUGUAAAAGUCUCUUUGUUUUUUUCUUGUUUGAUUUAUACCUUUUCUAACAUCUUGAAACUUCUAUGAUUAAUUAUUGAAAUAUAUUUCUGGACGUGAAUUGAUUCAUUUGUAUAUUCCUCAUACCUAAAAGAAAAUAAACAGUGAAGAAUUGGAGGUUUUUCUUCCGGACAUGUAAAAAAGAAAAGAAAAAACAAAUUGAAUUUUAAUAUAAACAUCACCUAAAAGGAACACCAAGUUCAAAUGUGUACCAACUACAGAAAUUUAAAACACUAUUAAAAAAGAAAAAGAAAAAGAAACUAAAACUCAAAUCCUUAAUUCCCCAACUAAUCUAUCUAUUUGUAAUAAAAAAAAAAGGAAAUAGUUGAAUUUCCCACACAAACAAAUUAAAAAGAGCCCCCCCCCCCCCCCCCCCCCCUAUGAAUAUUCCUUUAUCCUUUUCUUGUGUUUACUAGACACACAACUACACUACGUUAAAAAAGGCCCUAGAAAAAAGCAGUUUUUUAGUCGGCCCAAAAAGCUCUUAUUCUUAUUCAAAAGCUUUGGGCUCCACCACGGCCCACCAUCUCCUGGUACUGCUUCAGCGAUUCUUGUCUUUGCAACCUCAUCUCGUCGUUAAACUUCUUGAUGAACGCCUCAACUCGUCGGUUCAACUCGUCCUGGCUCGGCGACGCUUCUCUCUUCAUCCUCCCUGACCCCCCCGGCGAACCACCGCCCCUUCCUUCCUUGAACGUCUCAGACUUCUUCAUCACCUUCGACGGCGGUGUCGCAGGGUCCUCCACCACCAUAGUGGGGGCCUUUCGCCCGUGGGACUCCCACGUGUCGGAUUUCCUUAAGUGCCUGGUUAACGGCAUGGACCUUCCUUCCGUUAUCUUCCGCCACGUGUUCUCCAGUGUGUCCUGCCGCUUCGGUUUUGAAACUCCCAACGGCUUUCCUUUAAAUUAACAAAAUCCCCCAUAAAACUUCAUUAUAUUUACGUCUUUUGCCAUUAUCCAUUUAAACAUUUGUUCGGUUCUCUUUCUCUAUCUCACCCCUACACACACCCACCGAACGCCUCUCUCUCUUUCUCACGACUUUUUUAAUUUCAUUUUUUCCCAAAUUUUGAAAUCAGAACAAAUCAACAAAUAAAGUUUCUACUCUUACUUAUCUUGUCUAAGCUCAAAUUUAUGAAAACUAUAUUUGAUCAUUUCAUUACCACCAAAAUUUAACACUAAAUUGAAGCUACAGGACUCAACUUUUACCAUCAUUCAUGAACUAAAUUCUUAUUUAUCAAAGUUCAAGAUUUCAUAAUAUUUUUAUAAAAAAUUCCAUUUCGUUUAGCCUUCUUGUGUUAAGGAUGGUCUCCGAAACCACCGGAUUAAAUUUCAGAUCUCUCAUGGCGAAACUACCUCUCUCUCAUUUUACUGACUACCUAUAUAGCAGAAACCAUGUUAAUGAAUUAUAAAUAGACAGAAUGAGAGAAAGAGAGAUCGAACCUUCAGGACUGGAUUUCACGAAUUUCCGUUGGCCAAAUCUUGAAGAAACCGGCGGUUUCUCCUCCUUGUUUGAGAACAGAACUCCGAUUGAAUCUUUUCUUGGCAAAGUGUUGGUGAUCGAGCUCAAUACACUACUCUCAUCACCACCUUUCAUCGCAAUCAUAGAAUCAUUCUCCCCUUUCUUCUCCAUCUCAGAAACCCUAGAUUCUUCAAUCCGUCCGUACACCUCGUUGGAAUCAUCGAUCUCAAGGUCCGAAACCUUCGUCACCACGUUCUGAUUCGCGUUGUAACUACUGUAUCCAUUCAAAAUGUCGCUACUACCACACACAGCGUAGUCAGAGGAGAUCUUAGUGACCGGAGGAGGAGCGGGUGUUUCCGGAAUGGGAUCAUUCUCGAGAUUGGACUGGAGCUUAGAAGAGGCAACAAUACUGAUGAUUAUGCAAUUAAUAAGCAAAUAAAGAUAAGGAGGAGUUAACCAGGAGAGGAAGGAGGUCCAGAUGGAAGGGAUUUCAGAGAAUACGAAAUCGGCGAGCAGUGGAACAGAGAGCUUGAGGAAGAGGGCCAUGGAUAGAAGGCCAGUAGAGAUUAAAAGGAUCUUUAGAGAAAGGAUCCAAUGGUAGUUGGAGGAGAGAAUGGGCAUAGCGAUUUAAGCAGUGAGGAUGAUUAGAAUCUUACCUUUGGGAGCGGGCAGAAGUGUUUUUGGUUUGAGGGAGCGGAACAGAGAGAAAUAGUUGAAUGAAGAAAGGGAUUUAUGCAACGCUCAUUUUAUAUAUACUCUGCCUCCUCCAUACUUUCUUUUCCAUUUUCUUAUUUUCUUUUUAUGUGUUUUAUAAUUUGUUGCGUUGCGUUUGGCUGAAUACCAAAAUUUCCCAUUUCCUAAUUAUCAAAUUCAUUUAUUUCUAAAUUAUUAAAUACUUCUUUUAUUUUACUUUAUUAAAUAAAAAUGAGAACAUUAUAAUUUUGCACAAUUAUCGAUGUUGCUAAAUAUUUUUAAUUACUAAUUUGUUUUUCUAUAUAGAUGUUAACAUAUUUAUUUAUUUAUUAUUAUAUUUAUAUUAUCAAUAUUUUAUUGCUUAUUUUUAUGUUUAGUAAAUUAUAUUAAAUUCUUUCUACAUCCUCUCUAAUUCAAAUAUUUAACCUCAUACUUUCCAUUAAAUUCACAUAUCUAAUUCAUAAAAUUAAGUCAAUUGACGUGUAUUUAAUAACAAUUUGUAUGGUUAAAUAUUAGGUUUCUUUAUUUUGAUGUAAAUUCAUUUCAAUUUUAAAAGCAAAAGCAGCUUAUUGAAAAAUCAUUUGUUGAGAUUUUUAAAACUGGCUUAAUUAAUAAUAAUAAUUAGAAUUUAUGAACUUAAUUUUUGGCAAAAAAGAACUGAAAAUGAAAUUAAUAAUGAGAGAAUGGGAAGGGAGAGGAGAGAGGAGAGGAUGAUUUAAAUAUUUGAAAAGAUAGAGAAAUUCCCAACGGCUAUAUUUAAGGGGAAAAAAAAGACCGUUGAUUGGGGAGGAAUAGAAGGGAAGGUGAGGGUUCCAUUGGGCGGUGGAUGCACUCUUUGUCCACGUGCCAGUCCACCUCCUUGUAACAAACCGACUUCCCCUCCUCCCUAUAUUCCUACGCCGUAUUUAAGUAAAUCAAAGUGAAUCCAAUGCCACACUCACACACACACACACACAUAUUUCCAACUUAUCCUAUCCUCUCCUCUUUUCCUUCAUCAUUUCGACUUUCCUACUUUAUCAUUCCACACAUUCAAUUUUCACCUCUAUGUCUAUUUAACAUCUGGACUCUUUACAAAAUAGCAAACAACUUUAUCAUACAUUAAUUCGGGGUGUUACUAUACAAUUAAUCUUUAACAGAUAGACACAUUGAUGUAGUAUUUGUCAUACACACCAAAUUAGAGCGUAUUUACAAUUAUGUAUUUACAUAUAAAUUUGACUUAGGUUGUUGGUCAAAAUUUUCAAAUUACAUUACGAAUCAAUUAGAUAAUCUAACUAGUCAAUGAGUGUGCUUGAUUUCAUGUCUGGCUAGGAUUGACCUUGACUUUGGUUAAGAGUGAGAAUAGUGGCUUGGGCUAUCUUCACUGGUUAAGAACGAGCACAUUAGAGCAAUGAUAACUACAAAAUGGCUUUACAAGACGAAUCUAAGACUCAAGGAUGAAUUUUCUCGAAGAAGGGGAGAAUGAUAAGCAUAUAAUUAUCAAUGAUUAGUUGAAACAUUGAAUAAGUUACUUUUAAAACGAUAAGCUUCCCAAUAAAGUUAAAGAGUUGCAUCCUUUCAUAUAUCAAAAGAAAAUAUUUCACCCAAAAUCCACAGUGAAUCUUGAGUUUCAUAUUCAUUCACAUGUUUUUUUUACGAAUUAUGUUUAUGUAUGUGCAAUUAUGAGAGUAGUCGAAAGGUUUUUAUAAAUUUAGACAAAUUAAGUGAAAAGUUGUGUCCUUUUGUGGUAUCAUUUUAGUUAAUCUAAAUAGAGUUAAAUUUGAAUGAAAUUUGUUAGAAAGUUUUACUGGUUAAGCUUUAAAAGCUUUUCUUUGUUUAUUAUAUUAAAACGCAUGUUCAUCACUUUUAAUCGAGUUUGAUCAAAAUUAAAUCAUACAAAGUUUAAAAUUUGGAAGUUAGAAACAUUUACUCAUUUCAUUUCUUAUUGAUCUCUUGUCAACCUUUACAAGUUAUAUAUUGAUAGUUAAUUGAUUGAAUCAUUUUGCUACUUUUUAAAACUAAAAGUUAAUCACUGUGCCAUAUUUUAAAAUGAGAUUUUAUAAAUAACUAUUCCUCUAGAAUUAAAGUUGUGAAAAAGACAAAAUAAAAAAAAAAGGCUAAAUUAUUUAGGUUUAGAUAUAAUUAAUUAUAAAUGAAGCCACCAACUUUUGGGCAUAUGGAAGGGGCCGGAAGAUACCUUUAUGUGAUGGCUAUAGAAGGCCACAAAAUUAGAAUGUAAAAGGAUGCCUUUUUGUAUUCGAAUCAAACACAUUACUCAUAUUUAGAUCUCUUUAUAUUUAAACUUCUAACAACUAUAUAUAUAUCCUUGUCUUUGUUUUUGUUUUUUCAAUCCUCCAAAUCAAGUCUCCAUCCAGUUUUUAGUUGUAAAAUUACUCAAUAAAAGAAAAGUUUUCAAAUCUUACUUUUAGUUAUUUACUCUUGUUUGGUUUAUAGAUAAGAAUGGGUUAGUUUCUUAGAUUAUUAAGGAUUUUUUUUAAUCAACAAAAGCUUGAAUCUUAACUAAGGAUUAUGAUAUAAUAGUUAGGACAUUUGUUAAAAUUGAAUACCGCUCAAAGUAUAGUGAUCACAAUAAUAUUUUAAUCUAAUUUUAGUUAUUAAUAAAACAUAUUAUGAGUUCAACCCUUAGAUUUUAAGGGGAUUUGUUCAUUCAGUUAUUACACUUAAUUUUUUUUUAUCAUAUAGCAUUGGAGACUUUUAUGUGAAGCUAAAAGUUCAGGUAAGUAUUUUGAUAUCAACUUUAUAAUUUUGGUUGAAAUCAUGAAUAAAAUAUUUAGAAGAAUCUUUACAUAUCUUUUCUUUUUCCUUAUAUUUUUUUUACUUUACUUGUCCUUUUUUUUUAAUUUUUAUGAAUUUUCAUAGUGUCAUUUGUCGAGUAGUUGUGACUUUUUGGAGUGUAUGUAUCGAUUAUAACUUUGCAUGUACAAUUGAUGUCAAGAGACGUCAAAAUGGAAUAAUAAAUGUCAUUUGGAUGCAUCAGAUCACGAUGAACACAGUUUGAAUUAGUAGAGUGCAUUGAUUCUUUUAUUGUAUAUGUGAGGUAUAUGCACAUGUAAAACAAAAACAAAACAAAGACUUGCAAUUACCUACUUAGAAAAAAAUAAUUUCACGAGAUCCAAAAGUUUAGAGAAUUUUCAAAACUAUAUCAUAUAAAAUUUUAAAAUAAAAAACGAAAAAAUAUCAUUUUGAAUGCUUAUAUGAUUAAGGAAUGUAUGAAAAAUAGUUGAGUGCAUCUUGGAUUGAACCUAUUUUUGUAAAAUUCACCUAAAUGCUCAUUCAUAAGCGUUGUACAUAACAUGUUUCGUUUUUUGUUUUUAAAAAAUCUCUUCUAUUAUUCUUUGUGGUUGAAAAGAAUGUAUGAAGAUGUGGGUAGCGUAAUAAAUGUAAGCAAUAUUGAAGAAAGUUCGUAUUUAUUGAUUGGCAACAAACAUAGAUGAAGUCGAAAAUGGUAAGAAAAUAGAAGAUAUGGUCUUCAUAUGUACCUAAAUAUGCUUAUUUGAGAAAUUGAUAUCCCAAAAACAAGAAGAAAACAAACUGUAUACGUAAAAUAGAAAUGAAAACAUAUGGUGCAAAAGGAAGGGGUGUGAUCUUCUAUGUGUAUGGGUGUGUGUUUUUGUUAUAAUUUCAUGGCCAAGAAUGGUUUCAUUUUUGUUUUGUUAUGAACAAUUUAGAAAUAGGAUAAUUGUAUAGCACUUUAGGUGUGUGUGUGCUCUAAGAAUUUAGCUUCUUCUUCUGUUACAAUUGAAUGGUGUUGGAGUCUUCUCAUUUUUUUAAAUUUUUUUUUACGCUUACCUAAUCUUUUUUUCUCACCCCUUUUUCAACAUUGAUGAUUUCUUUUAAAAAAAAUAAACUUUAAUUUUUGAACUGUUUGUUGAUCUUAUUGGAUAAUCAAUUUUUGGAUUUGAUGAUCUUCCCAUAUCAAAUUUGGUUUGUUAAUCUAUUGAAGAUAACUUAUUGAUCUCUUGGAGAAUCGAUGUGCAAGCUUAUUGAUCUUUCUCGGAUGAUCAACUUUUUGGAUUGGCCUCUAGCUUGCUGAUCUACCUAGAUCGGUCAUACAACUUCAAGAAGUUAUAUUACUCAAAGCUUUGAUCGUAUGAGCUUUAGAUCUUAAGAGCUUUAAUUUAGAGCCAUAGUAUUCAAAAUUCGAGAGCGAGCUUCAAAUUAAAGUUUCAGUCUUUAAAAUUUGAGUGUUUUAGUCUCCUAGAAUUCAAAGAGAUUUAAUUUUUUAAGUUUUCGAUUUUUUGAGAAGCUGAUAACCUUAAAAUUGAUUAUAAUUUUAAACUUUUGAGAACCUAGGCUUAGUUUUCAAAUCUCCGAGCUUCAAGACACUUUGUUCUCAUCUCUUCCCACGUCUUUUCUCCCUAAAAUGAGAGGUGUAAGACCUUUGUUUAUAGAGUUUUCUCAUGUGACUUCAAAUGAGCUUCACUAAGUUGCUCGUUGGGCUUAGGCUAGAGCUAGUGAUGAGUCCAUUAUCUUUUUGGACCCAAAAUUUUGCAUUGGUUUGAAUUGGAAUGGGUUCGAGAAAUAUCAAUUACUCCAAUCAAUCCAAAUUUUAAUUUUCACAAUGAGAACUUCUGAUUGUGAUGACAUGAUAGAAUUUAAUUAGUUGAGAUUUCUCAUUAACACACUUCUUUAUUCUAAAAGAUUUUAUUUCAAUGGAUUCUAAAUUAAGAAAUAUGAUAUAUUCUACUUAUAUUUUAGAUCCAAAAUAGAAAAAUUAUUGUAAACUUGAUAGGUUUGGAAUAUUUACAAAAUAGAAUCUUUUUUUAAAAUUAUAUUAACGAUAAAUAUUGAUAAACACCGAUCGACUUCUUUUUUCUAUCCGUGUCUACCGAGUUUGAAAAUUUUCCACAUUUUGUAAGUAUUUUAAUUUUUAAUUUUUUUUUUUUUGCUGUAUUUCGAAAACAUCCCUUUAAUUUAUAUUAAUAUAUAUAUAUUAUCACCUUUUCUAUCUUUAGAUGGGAAAAGAGAGCAUAAGGAAUUUGGGUGUAUUUAGAGGUGUGAAUGUAUGGGUGUGAGUAUGUGGGUAUGUGGGUAUGUGGAUGUCGUUACAAUAAUCACAAAAAUGGGAUUAGAAUAAGCUUGAUAUGAAAAGAGGGUUUUGGGAGAAAAGUUGAAUGAAAGGAAGUGUGUGAACAAAGAGAGGGAGACUGUAUUUACUAAAUAUUAUUUUUUACCACCUGAAUUCCUAUUCAUCAUCUCAUUGUUUCACUACCCAUCAUCUCCUUUAAUAAUCCUCCCCUAGUCGCCUUCCCUUCUAUCAAAUUGCUUUUUUUUAUUCCCCCAUCAAAAACAAACAAACCCAACACACUUUCCUUCUUCAACUCUUCUCUUAUUCUUUUGGUUAUACCAUUUUGCCAUUGUGGUUCUUUUCAUUGUAUUUCCUUAUUAGUUGUUAGGUCCUUUUCCUAUUAGGUUAUUGUAUGCCUUUUUGCUUUUGCUUUUGUUUUUGUGCACAAACAGAUUAAGAACUGUUGUGUGUUAAACUCACAACUUUUAUCCUCCUCUUCAUGUGCUAAGGUUUUAACGUCUUGAAGUUGUUAUCGUUUUGUUCAUCUAGUCUUCGAAUAAAAUAUGAUGUUGGCAAGUUGUACAACAUUGUUUGAAAAGUUCAGGACUUGUAGUGUCUUUAGGUGAGUUUGUUUACACUAUAGUUGCUUAAGGUCAACAAUUUAGGAGGAGCCUGAUAUAAUCAAGAAUAGUCAAUCAAGUAUCAACUACUUAGUGAAAGUCUAAGUGAUCGUCUACUCUAAUCUUGUCAUUAUUAUCUAUUAAAGAUAACUUGCAUACUUGUAAUCCAUAUUAUAAACUCUAGUGAUCAACACAUUAUUCUUCUCAAUUGGACAAAACCCCAAGCAUAGGUGUAUUUUACCAAACUUAAUUACUAAGUUUCUUGUGUUAUUUUCUUAUGUUAACUCUCUCUUUUUGUUACUUCUGUUAAUUGUCUUGUUAUAACAUUAUAUCCCACGUUGUAUCGUUAAAUUAACUCCUAUUGUUUCUUUUUUUUAAAUGCAUUGUUUUAUCCUAUUAAUUACUACUUUUGUUAUAUAUAUAUAUAUAUUUAUUUGUAUUUUCUCUAAUCCUUGUAACUCAAGAUAAUUACAUUGCUUUUAAGUAGGUAAAGGUGCUAAGUAUUUAUUUCUUUUUUCCUUUGCAUGUGCAUCUCAUAUAUAUACAUUAUUGGAAUAACUAAUGCACCCUACCCAUUCAAUGUGUGUAACCACCUCUAUCUCUAUCUCCAACAAUGCAUCCAAAUAACCAUCUAUUACAUUUUAUCUUGAAGAGUAGGGUUCCUCAACACAAUUAUUGCACUUUAAAAGUCAUGUCUACUAUCUUUCACAUGGACACUAAAACUUGAAAAAGUCUCAGCCACUAAACAAGGGUUAUAUAAGAGUUCAUAAAAAAAAUAAGAAUAAAAGGAUCGUGACAUGUAAAAAUUCUCCAUACAUACUAACGAUACACUAAAACCACACAAAUCAUUUCUUCCCCCCUUCCUCUUUGAUCCAAAAAAAUCAAAACGGUGGCUCAAAAAUCUUAUACACUGAGGCAAAAAAGAAAUAGAUUUUAAAAAGCAAAUGAGAAUCAUAUCCCCAGUAUCCACCAAUCUCAAACGGGUUAGUACACCAUAAUUAGAAAUAGAACUAAUCGGAGAUUAGAUAUGAAAUAUAUGAAUUGAGUAACACCCACACCCACACCCAGAAAUUAACCAAUCUUCUUGCAUUAGGGCUAAGGAGUUUGUGAAAAUUGGACGAAUAUGGAAAGGCCACAUUUAAGGCCUAAGUUGAGCUAUUAGGUAUUGAAUACAAAAACUAAACCAGUCCAUCAAUGCAUUUGAUAUUCACACGCAAACCAAGAGAUAAAGAUAACACAGCAGCUAUGGCAAAGGAGAAGUAUAUAGAAAGAAAAAUAGAAAAGAAAGUCAUUUAUGGUACCCAAGUGUUUUUUCAAAAGUGUCGUUUUAUACGUGCAUAUAUUUCCUUGUUUGCCCACCUGAAAUUUUGAGACUGUGUUCUUGACACAAGGGCCUUCAAUAUGAAAAUGGUGAACAUCUCUUUCUCAACCUCUCUACACUCUCACAUUACAUUGACUAGUUGGUGCAUAUGUUAAGUGAUUUUUUUCCACUAUUGUGCAUGUUGUUCGAAUUGACAUUCUAAAUCUAGGUUACAUAGUGUGUAAAUUAUAGGUAUAAAUUAUGACUUUUGAUUGCAUUAACUCAAUCCAAUAGUUCUUUUAUGUAACUUAAACAUGUAUGUAUAAACAUACAAGUGGCCGAUCCUAUUGAAAUAAUAACCAAAAUGGUAUGUAACAUAUGAAUAAGGUUGGGGGACUUAGCUUGGUGUAUCAUAUACAAAAAAAUUGUAUAAAAAUCGGUUUUGGCGAAAUGAUUAAUCACUCUUUAUAACAUUGUUGGUUGAAUAGAUUAACAUUAGAUAGUACAUAAGCUAAUAGACAAAAUUCACUCGUUUAGGAAGUUGCAUAUUAUAAUUAAUUAAGUAAAAGACACAAUAUAUAUUUACAAUUAACAAAUGACAGAAACAUACAAUUCUAUCCAACAAAUUAAAUAUUACAUAAUAUCCUACUUAAUUACUUAAAAGUGCUUCUUAAACAACACACAAAAAAGCCUUCAUAAACAAUAAAAAGUUAAACCAUAAUAUUGUGUAUUUAAAAUUCACAAAACAAAAUAUUGAGUCCAUGUUGAAAAGUUCAUUAAUUGAAUCUAAUGCUAAAAAGAAACGAAUAAAUCAUAUAUCUGUGAAGGUUAAUUAAAACACUUUUGAAAGGUUCAUAACUCGUUUAAGGUGAAAAAAUACUAAAAUUUUGCUGCCUUUCUAACGGUAUAACCCUCAACACACUCAAUUUUUAUUAAAAUAAGUUUGCACAAAGAAUUGAUCUUUUCUUUGAGGAAUCUAAAUUAUUCAAAAACAAAAUAAAUAAAAACCUUAGACGUGCCCAAAACUUUUUAUAAUUAAGGUUUCGAAUCUUCUUUUUCCUCUUUCAAUAUUUUCUUUUUAAAACCAUAUCAUUAAUUGCAAAUAUAUAUAGGCAACAAAAUAAUAAUGAUAAAAAAGAAAAGAUGUUUCCUUGGAAGACUAAUAUAAUUGAUGGGAAAAACUAAAGGCAGUAUAGUAUAGAGAAAUGAAAGAAGAUGAGAGCAACCUUUUGCAUCUCUUAAUUAAUUGUGUUGCCAAUGCCAACUCUACAUUCUUUCCUUCUUUACAAUUUCAUUUGGAUACCUUUCUUUAUAUCUUCCGAUCCAUUGUUCUUUCAAUUAUGUCUGUCUUAUAAAAACACCCAAUCUCUAUAUCAUCCCCACGUCCUAUUCUCUUUUUCUCUUUAUUAAUAAUAUAUACUCCAUUUUAAUUUCCCCAUCCAUCUCCAGUUUUUGUCUCCCUUUUUUAUCUUCUCCAGGUACAUACUUUCUUCUUUUUUCUUUCACCCUUAUUCUAUAUUGUUUUCAGUUGAUUCCUCAUGAUAUACCCAUGAAACUAAUUCAAAUUUAAUUCUAUUCAUACAUCAAUUAAUGUUAUCUUUUCGGUAUAUCAUUACCAAUAAAUGCAUGUUAUAUUUUCUGUGUAUCAUUUUAUAAUUAUAUCCUUCAUAAUUUUCCAUCUAAAUUUGGUAUAUUAGUUAACCUAUGUACUAAAUGAAGUAUAUUUAUUAUACAACUGAUUAAAUGUAACUUAUAUGUCACCUAAAUUAUAUAAAAAAAUAAAUGAAAAUAGAACAUAUAGGAUUGAUACAAUUAAUGUAAUUAUGAUACACUAUCAAAGUUUGAGAAAAUAAAAUAGGUUAGAAACCAUAACACAACCACUAAGGCAUAAUCUAAACCAAACUAUUAAAUUGAACUAACUAAAUAAAAAUAACUUCAUAUAAUAAGGAAAAAAAAAAGAGAGAAAAAUACUCAAACAAUGUCUACCAUAAAAAUCAUGAUAUGUCAAUUGUAUAAGUGAUAAAUGAUGCACUUAUAUGUAUGAAAAUAUCAAAAUAUAUAAAUUGACUGAUAUAACAAAUAUGAAAUAUGCAUUUUUAUGCUGUACGUUGUAGGAGAAAGGGAAGAUGGGGCAGUUGUUUUCUACAAGAAUGGCUGGAAUUUGGGACAGAAUUGACAAAAAGUUGAAGUGUUAUAGAGAGUUUGAAGAAAACUUGAGUGUCCUACAAAAACUAGCAAGAGAACUAAGCUUCCAAUUAGAAGAACUCGAACAUACUUCGACUUCCGAACGAAGUGAGCAAUGGGAGGAGGAAGUAGAGGACUUGAUCGAAGAAGUCGAAGACUUAGAAAGAUCAAUCCUAAAAUGGAAGCUUUUGACGGUUGCUGUUUAUCUUUAUGGAAGGACAGUAGUAGAAAAGAUUGAUGAGGCAAAAGAGCUACUUGAAGAAGGAAAUUACCUUUUUCCCAACUGUUUCAAAUAUUUGAUUCUUGGAGGUGGAGUGGCAGCAGGAUAUGCAGCAAGGGAGUUUUCUAAACGAGGUGUCAAACCAGGGGAGCUCGGUAUAAUUUCGGAGGAAUCGGUGGCACCGUACGAACGUCCAGCACUCAGCAAGGGAUAUCUGUUUCCAAGGAACCCCUCGAGGUUACCGCAGUUUCACGUGUGUGUUGGUAGUGGAGGGGAAAGAUUGGGCCUCAAUUGGUAUGAAGAGAAAGGGAUAGAAUUGAUCCUCAACACAAAGAUUGUAAAAACAGACCUUAAAUCCAAAACACUCACAAGUGAAGAUGGUUCAGUUUUCAAGUUUGGGACUUUGAUUAUUGCAACAGGUUCAGGGGUUGUAAAACUGAGUGAUUUUGGUGUAAAAGGAGAUCAAGCCAAAAAUGUUUUGUAUUUGAGAGAUGUUAAGGAUGCUGAUAAAGUUGUUGAAGCCAUGAAGGCAAAAAAGAACGGAAAAGCAGUGGUUGUUGGAGGUGGAUACAUUGGACUUGAAGUUGGAGCAGUCUUGAGACAGAACAAUUUGAAUGUCACAAUGGUGUAUCCUGGUCAUUGGUGCAUGUCUCGGCUCUUUACCAAAGAGAUUGCCGAAUUCUACGAGCGCUACUACACUUCAAAAGGGAUUAAACUCGUCAAGGAAACAUCUGUGAUCGAGCUCGAAGCCGAUCCAAACGGGGAGGUAAAGAAGGUGAAGCUAAAAAAUGGGAGAGAAUUAGAAGCUGACGUUGUUGUAGUUGGGGUUGGUGCAAGACCUGCAACAGGUCUAUUCCAAGGCCAGCUUGAGAUGAACAAAGGGGGGAUAAAAACCGACGGGUUGUUUAAAACGAGCGUCAAUGACGUGUAUGCAAUCGGGGAUGUGGCUUGGUUUCCAAUGAAGAUUUACAAUGAAAGGAGAAGAGUCGAACAUGUUGACCAUGCAAGAAAAUCAGCAAUGAAAGCUGUGGAGGCCAUCAUGGAACAGGAAAAGGUUGUUGAAGUAUAUGACUAUCUACCGUACUUCUACUCGCGCGUUUUCGAUCUAUCGUGGCAGUUUUACGGAGACAACGUAGGAGAAAGAACUGUGAUGUUCGGAAACAGGAAUCUGGUAGUGAAAAAGCCAAAGUUUGGGUGUUAUUGGAUCAAAGAUGGGAAAAUAAUGGGAGCUUUCUUAGAAGGAGGGGAUUCUGAAGAAAACAAAGCCAUGCAAAAUUUAGCAUGGAACCAACCAAAGGUUGAUGACUUAAGAGAAUUGGAAGACAAAGGUCUUUCUUUUGCUUUUAAUUAUAAGGAUUUCCAAAAAACAAAUGCUGCCUAAGUACUUCUCUGAACCUCAAAAAAGAUUCAAUAACUGCAAGAAAUGCAGAGUAGCAUUUGGCGCUUUCUUCUUUUCUUUUCUUGUAAAUAUAUGGGCGUGUUGGUGAUUUCAAAGGUUUGCUUUCGUUUUUGGAAAUAAUAAUAAUGAAGCUAAAUAUAGCUCUUUGUCUCUUAUGUAUAUCAUCAUUAUUGGUAUUGUAUUGUUUGAUGGUCAUCUUUUAAAUGUGUGUGUAUUCAUUUAAAAUCAUGAACAAAAAUAGGUUUUUAAUAUUUAAAAAUCAAUUAUUACUGUGUGUAAACUAUAUUUGAAGAGUUCUAAAUUAACCCUUUCUAAAUUUCAAACCUAUCUUUUAAAAAAACUUUUAAAAUUGAUUAAUUUUGAAUUAUCAAACACAUGUUCUCAACUAAAAUUAUUAAGAAAUAUAUACUCUUUCAAAAAAAAAAUGUUUCUAACAAAACCCUUUAACUUAACAUUUCACCAUCUAUCUUUAUUAGGUCAAAUGUUUGAGUGCAUUUGAUGGACAUGACAAACUUUUAUUUUUAAAAAAAGUUUUCUUUAAUAGUUUCUUCUUUCGUGGUUUAAGAAAUGCAUGUACAUUUCCAUCCAUACAUUUUUUUUUUAGAGAUUUUUGCACAAAUAACCUCCUUGGAAGGGUUAACAACUUGAAUAUAAAAUCUAACUUUUUGCUUAUGUCACAUUACACUACCACAUUUUUGUAGCCUAUUAUGUUAGGCAUGACAUCUCUAUUUGUAACCCUAAUACAAUUAAAAUGACUAUAAACUUUAUCUCAACACGAUCACACAUUGCUUUUAAAACUAUGUUACAUAUAGUCAAACUCUAAAGUAGAUAAAUGUGGUAUUUGAACGUUCACCAUAAUUUUUCAUGUUUUAUAUUUGUAGAUAUGGAUAUGAUUUAAGUUAAAUUUAAGAGCAAUGUUUACGUUCAUCCACCUGAGAAACAUAUUUCCCAAAAUUAAAAAAGAAGAAAAAGAAAAAACGUAUUUUCUUAGAAAAGAAAAAUGCUACAUGGAAAGUUUUAAUUGGAUGGGGGCUCCUAAGGUUUUUCCAAUUUAACGUGAAACCGUGCGACGUGGCCAAAUUUUGGUACUUGAAUCAUGAAUGGGCAGGCCGAACAGCUACAUAAUCUUACAACGGAUCACCGUGAAGACACAAUCGGAGCCCAUAUAUUUUGAUUCCUUUUGCCGCCGGACGAUAACAUGGACGACGUCCUCGGAAACAACCGUUUUCGUUAUCUGAAAGAUACCUCUCAGCACCGUGACAUUCGGACGAAGAUUAUCCAAUUUCUCACCGGCGUUGGCAAGUUCGCCGUGGACUCUACCAUCUUCAGCUCACUCAAGGCCGUCUCCGGUUCUCUUUCUUCUCUCUUGCUUCUAAACAUAUAUCUGUCGAUUAUUUACAAAGUUUUGGUGCUUUCAAUUUUUCAAUCACAUUAAAAACACUACAGCCCUAAUUUCUUCAGCCCUUCAGUUUCUGAUCUAGUGUUUUGUUCUAUAGCUCUAAUAUUUUGUAUGGAUCUUCUUCUGCCGCUCCCCCCUUAAUAUUCUUUUCGACUCAUCCUUCAUUUUAUCUGAAUUAUUGGAUUUCUUCCCUCCCUGCUGCCCCGAAAGAAUGAAAAUUUGUUGUGAGUGUAUUUCUUUUGUUUUCGAUUAGGAAUAUGCGUGGAAGAAAAUUGAAAUUUGGAUAUUGCAAUAGCAUGUUAUAAGUAUCAUUGUUCUUUAUGUGAAGUUCCAUUCCAAGUAGUUGAUUUUUGCUCGGCCUAAAUGUUAAAUUUUCCUCCAGCAACUCCAGAACAUGUACCAAAAUUUGGAUUUGCCUUUGUUUUUAUCCAGUUUUCCCUAUACUGAUUCUAGGUGAAACUUUCAAAGUUUAUGUUUUUUGUGUGGCAAGUUGAUGGAGUUUGAGGAAGAUCACUCUGAUUGGCCAUUGUUUUGCUUUCUGUAGUGGGCCUAUUGGGGCUAGAGACCUUGACCAUAACUUCUAGACCCUAGAGUGUGAUUUAGCCUCUGUUAUUGUUCAGAGUUCUUUCUUUAAGGGGUUGCAGUCUUGUAGAUCAAGGAGUUUCUUCUUCAUUCUCUUUUGAGAGACGAAAAGAUUUGUUGGCAUGUUGGAAUGCUUGCUGCUUUGUAGGGCCUUUAGAUGGAGGAAUAGCAGUGUCUUUAAGCACUUAGGUUUUUGGGCCGUGGUUAGAUCGAAAUCUUUUUGUAGGGUUCAACAGAUGGCGGGAGAGGUUUUUGUAAUAAUCUGUUAGGUCCUGUCUUACAUGAUUGGAAGCUCUUCUUUAGUUUGCCUCUUCUUUCUUUUUUCUUUAAUCUCUUGGUUCUUGUCUUACUCGUUUGGAGGCUUUUCUUUAGUUUGCCUUCUUUAUUUUGAGCUUGUUUCUGUGUAUCUUUGAUCCCUCUCAUUUCAUUUCGGUUAAUUCAUUUAAAAUCCGUUAAGUUUAAAAUUACGUUGGAUUCUGAUAUACACUAUGAGAAUGGAAAAAAGUAUGUGAUUGUCAAUUUUAGAUUAUGUUCUGGUUGGUUUAGUUUUAAAAGAAUUUGGUUACACGUUGGUGUGAAAUUGCUUUUGUUAAAAGACUGACCUGAAUUGAUCUGGUUACACCCCUACUGAUUCAAAUGAAGAAAAUCCAUUGCUAUACUUACAUCUUUUUCUAUGGCUUUUCCUUACGUACUGGUACCUUUGUCCAAAUAAAUGAUUAGUCUCCUGGUUUUUUGUGGACGAUAUCUCUGGAAUUCCUCUACUGAAUUCUGCCAAUAGUAUUAAACUCUUUUUGGUUUUUGAUUUUUGGUUACUUUCUGGGGUGGUUGAAUGAUGUAGGUAAGAGUGAGGUGCAUAAGAUUAGGCAGGGAGGGUUAAAGGAUACGCCCUAUUCAUCAUCUUUGAAUGAAAAGAAACCAGAAGAGGUUAAACUAGUGAUGAAACCAGAAGAGGUUAAACUAGUGAUGGAUAAGAUGCAGGCAGAGAUGGAGGAAAAAGAGGGAAACGUGAAUAAAAUGAAGCAACAGCAACACCAUUGUACAUCUGCAGAGAUUGUUGAUGAUGACUCUGAACCACUGAAGAAGAAGCAGGGGGAAGGCGACAAAGGAUCAGCCAACGUAAUUCAAAACAAGAAAAGGAUCUUCAUCCGUUCCCGACUAUAGACACAAUCCAGUUCAUUAUUAUUGUAUUGUAGCAUAAUAGUAAGAAUAAUGGAUUCCUUUCUUGACAGGGUACGUAAGUUGUACUUAGAUGGAGACUUUUAUUAUAUUAUCAUAAUUUGUAAAGCUAUGCAUCCAAUAUUUUCAUGGAUGGAAUUCCUUAGCUUAGCAAGUUGUAAACAAAUUCCUCUCUUGUUGGAAACAAAAUAGAAGUUGAUUAAUAGCAUUUUGUUUUUGGCAGGAUUAGUAUAUUGACUACACGGGUUAUCCUAAUAUGACUUUUUUUUUUAUUAAAAAGAAUGUAUUAGGUGUAUAAAUGUGUAAUUUGUUGUUUCCCCUUUUAACAAAUGGAAAAAGUUGAUCUUUUGCAAUUACUAAAUGUAGUUAGUUAAAGUAUAGGUUAAAUUCUCCCAAACAUUAUCCAUACGCUUAAAUGUGGUAUGAAAGUUAAUAAUCAAAAUUGAUUUUCUUUUCAUUAUAUCUAUUCAUCCAUUUUAAUUUAAAAUGGUUGCAUUUAGGUAAUUAGGUACUUUUGUAAUUGGAAGAACUUGUUUAUUGACAUCGUACUUAAACUUGAAAGGACAAUUUCCAUAAUUCAAUUUUCAAUCUAUACUUGAAAAGGAGCAUUUAUAAGAAUAGCAAAAUUUUAUAUUUUAUUAAUAAUAGUCUUUUAUAAUUAUGCUAUUUUUUGAAAAUUCCCUUCAAAAGAAAUUGUUUAAAUAUAAAUACAACCGAAUUUCGAAUGACGAUGCGAUGUAACGACACUUGAGGCUUCUCUGAAGUUCCACGGGGUACACUCUUUUCGGCACAAUUUCUCCAACAGCAGAGCACCCAACCAUGGCGGCAUGGAUGGCGGCACCUCGCCGUAUACUUUUGUCGCACAACUCACUUUCUACGCCUCAAAUCGCCUCUCUAACGCAUCGGCGCGGUCUCGCCGGCGGUGGCGGUAUUUACGUUUUCCAAUUAUUGCUUUCUUUACAGUUCGUAAUUUAGUUUGUCCUUCACCCCGAGCUACUAAUGAUUGGAUGCUGAGAAACUUUGAAAUUGGAAGGAACUAGAAAUCUAUGUGCUUAUUUCGGUAUAAUAACUAUUCGUUACUCGAUGAAUUAGGAAUUAGAACCAGUAGUAGAACUGGCUCCAUGACCACAUUUUUUGUCUCCUCGAUCAUUUGCCUUUGGGUUUUUCUUCCUUGAUAUCUGAAAUUGUUCAUAUCAUAUAUGAAUUUGUUGAUUCUCUGCAAUCUGCUCUACGUUAUAUAUCAAUUUUAUGUAAACUCAUAAGGGUAAAAAAAUCCAUUUCUACGAUACUCCACUUCCAACUUUUACAGCUUUUAUAGACUUGAAAACCAAUUAAAAGUUACAUAGACUUGACUUUAUAACGUAUUCUUUAUGCAAAUGAGACUCAAACUUUCUAAACCAAACUUCGGUUACUGAGAAUUAUUGUCAUGCGUAGCUAGCUAUACAAUCGUGUGUCUAUGGAACUUGGCACGACGCCCCGAUAACUUUACAGUUUACGUCUGAUUCAUCAUGUAAAUGCUGCUAUCAGAUUUGAGAGCUGAAGUAAUUGAUGAACUUGGAUCUACAAGUAAUUUGUUUGUUCUACUUUUUUGUAAUCUUGCAGAUCAUCAUGGACCUCCGAAGGUGAACUUUUGGGAGGAUCCCUUUAAUCCAUCCAGAUGGAAACGAGAACAUGUGAGCUUGUACUAAUUACUGAAACUGAUUAUCAUUUGAACUCUGAUUAUUUCGUUCCAAUCAUAUACUAUGAUGCAUACACAUUUUAGUUUGGUUAACAUGUUUGUGGUGUUGAACUUACAUGUUGGAUACUCCGACACCGCGAUGGAUAGUGUGUAAUACAAUAGUUAAACAAACCGAGUACAUGCUGAUUACUCUGGUUAAACAUUAUAAUCCCGUGGAGAACAGUAACACUCAUGUAUCUUUUGGAAACAAUUAUUAGAGACAUGAUUAAUGCUACCUUCCAUCUUAUAUAAAUCUUCGAAUUGAUUGAUUUCUUGAAUUUUUGCAUUGGUUUUUACAAUCACUACACAUCUUACUAACAUGUAUUUGUAUUCACAGUUUGUGAUUGUAUCUUUGACUGGAUGGGGUUUAGUUCUUUAUGGGGCCUACGAUUUCUUCACUAAAGGCAAGAAGGAAGAGGUAUGGCUUUUUUAGAACUUUAUUUAAGGAAUAUAUGAUUAGUUCUUCCUUCCAAAAAGAAAGUAGCCUUUAGAAGGAAUGAGCUGCUUUAUUCUUGGUUUUGUUGCUCGUGAUUUAGUUUCAUGAAUCGAUAAUGUCCUUCUCCCAAUGUGUUGUGUUGGAGUGUCAUUCCCUACUUUUCACCAAGAUAGGGCCAAGAAAUCGAGAAACAACCAAGUUAAAAAUCUGGUAUUCAUUUUUAUUUAUUAUUUUUUUCUUUUCUAAGUUUGUGUAAAAAAUAUCCAUAAAUUUUGAAAAGUUAAAAAAAAAAAAGACUUCAAAACUUUUUAAAAUGGUUCAAAACUACCAUUUCCGUUAGUUUUGAAAGUUUUGAAUGAAAACCGUUAGUUUUGUUUCCAAAAUACCCUCCAACUAUUAAAAAGUUUCAUAAAUACUUUAAAUUUGAAAAAAAUUCAAAAUAUUUUUCACCUAUCCAAUUUUUACACCAUUCAACAUAAAAACUAAAAUUUUAAGUUAAAGACCAUAAUUUUGAAUUUUCAUAUAUUUCUAUUUAUAUUUUUACAUUUUCAUGAAUUCGAUAUCUAUAAAAGGGAUGAGUGAUAUUUUCAUUACAUCAUAGAAAAAUCUACAAAUUACAAAAAAAAAAUAAACAUAAAAAUGGGACUAACAUAAAUAAUAGACAUAUUUAAAAAAUAAAUAAUUAAAUACAUGUUUUCUAAUUUGAAUUUAUUUUCAAACUAUUUUACUUUUAUAAUUUUUCAGAAAUAAUAAAAUACUUGUUUACUAAUUUGAAUUUAUUUUUAUAAUUUUUCAUAAAUAUCGGUCGAGAUCAAAAUCAAAAUGUCUGCAAUUAACACUUUGAUAUAUCCUAUCCAUCAACAUCAUUAUUUUAAACCUCACAUAGUUAUUUUACCUCAUCUCUUAAAAAAACCCAUCUCUGACCUUAGAAAGUAAACAAUAUAGGAAAAAGACGUAGAUAUGAAAGAGGUGUUGCUCAAUUUUCAAAUCUCGAUUUUGGUAGUGAACCAAUGGAUCAGAAAAUUCCAAAUUGUUUUAAGAAGCUUUUGGUUUAUUUUCUAAAAUAAUAAAGGUUAAAUUAAUGAUUAAGCUUUUUAACAUUGAGGUUCUCUAUUUGGUGCUAAACUUCCAAUCUUUAGUAGAUUUCUGUCAAGAAGGAAUAGAAAAUAAGGUCUUGGGCAUAAUAGUCGGAGAGAGCAAGAGAAUGUCACUCCAACUUUCAAGUGCUUCAUCGUAAGGGUUCUAGCAAGCAAACCCAGUAGUUGCUAUUACUCUUAGUAAGACCAGCCACAACAAUAUAUCGCCUAAAAUGACAUAUAAGAAAGACAUUGCAUUGAUACUUAGACUAAUAGCAAGCGGGAAGGGCACUGGAUAGAGACUGUAGGGUCUCAUCCCUGCUUCAACCAGAUGCAGAGACGGCACAGAGUAGAGACAGUCUUAGCUACAAUCUUUGCCCUUACCUGAGAAUCUUCCAUUUCUCGUCUGUAAACAGAAUAAUAGUCUUCCUCUCUUUUCAUUUGCAGAUUUGAAAUUAGAAUGCCCUGUGAACUCCUCCUAUUACAGAAGCAGCAGCUAAGAAAACUAACUUUGGUUGAAAAUUUGACACAUUCUAAAAUUGAUCCAUUAGAUGUUCAUUUAAAUUUAUGUCUAGGUCUAGUAAAAUUCUAUUCCUUCAAUUUUGUCUAAAUCUAACAUUGGCUGGAUAUGAUUAAUAACUUUAAGAGCCAGUAAGUAUUUAUUCCAAUAUGUUGGAAGAAAAUGUGAUUUAAAAAGAUCAAUACUAACCUUUCUUUUUCUCUGCAUAUUAUUGUUUGAAUGGCUUAGACGUUGUUGGUCUAACUUGCCUCUGUUCUCUCCUGCAGAAAGUUGGAGAUGGAAGACACUAGCUUCUCGGGUUUUCGAGACAAUAUCCUCAAGUAUAUAAAAAUAAAAAAGGUAUCCAAAAACGUGACUUUUCCAAUGUUUGAAUUAAAUAAGCAAAGAGUUUAUGUUGUAGUUCAUCAGUCUUUAUUAGUUACAGAGUAAAGAUUGUACCUUAGACUUGUUGUAUCAAAAUCAAUAUACAAAAGUGAAGGCAUUUCACAAAUUUCUACAGUUGUUUCAGAAUUGGAAAUUCCUACCCAUGAAGAACAUAUAACGAAUAUACAAAGAUCUCCAGUGUCAAAACUUAAUUCAAUCUGGCAAACCCAAUUGAACCAACUGAACUUGUCCCCCUAAAUUUGAUGUGCUUCUGAAGAAUACUAACUGCAAUCCAUGGUUCACAAGCAUUACAUAAGAAAAAGCAUGCUAUUUGAAUACUUACGAGUAUCUUAUGACUAUGGUCGACAACAAAAUCAAUCGCUUACCAAGACGAGUUCAGUCCACAUCUUUUACUUCUGCUUCUAUGUCAACAACUGCACCAGAAGUUUCCUUCCCUUCAAUCAAUCACAAGAGGUGGUUGGGUUUCGAGUAGGUUGAAUAUUUCUUUGGGGGGUGGGAAGAUUGAUUUAGUCCAGGAAGAAUCUUACCUUUUCUUGGAGAAGUAAAGUCACUAAAAGCUUGUCCAAAGGUGGAAGAAGUUUUGUUGGAGAACUUCACUGAGUCCCUCACAAACUUGUCAUCCACCACUGAAUUUGUGAAGGAAGAAUCAAUAUACACAAAUAAAUAAGAAGUUGUUAUGCAGUAUUCGAUGUUCUUGCAUAUAAGGAAAAGGAAAACGAAACAAACCAAACCAUGAUAAACUAACAGUUCACGAUCCAACAACAAUAAGAACUUGGGAUCUAUAAAAAUUUGGUAUUUACCAGAAAAAGGUUGGCUACAAAAAGGGCACAGUUGCAGCUCUUCAUUCAGAGUUGAUCUGCAAUAUGGAUGGUAAAUGAAGUGUGCUAAUCAUUUCAAAAUCGAGUAAUCUCCUCAAACGAGUUCUUUCAAGAUCACUUACUUGAAUAUUUGAAAUUCAUUUCCACAGUUAGGGCACUGCAAAUGCAAGACAAGAAGUGACAGCAUGUCAUUUAGAAGUUAUAUAGGCUCAAGAUUUGAGGUUGAAAAUGCAAAAGAUAUAAUAUAGACUAACAUUGCUUUGAACUAUAUCGCGUCCUGCCCACCAUAUAAAAGCGGCCACUCCAACAAUUGGUACAAGAACUGCAACAAGCUGAAUGGCCAUAUAUGUUAACAGAUUAAACCAAGGCUCUAAAAGCUAAAACAAAAAGGAAUUCAUCUUCCACCAGUUCUUGAAUCCAAACAAAAGAGAGCUACAUACACACAUUUUUCUCCCACUAGAAACCAGUUUUCAAAGCCUGAGCCAGAGGAAGCAAAUCAAAGAUAUUCCAUCCAAAAACACAACUAAACUUCAGAUUGGAGAUAUUCCAUGCAAAACAAAACUAAAUUUUAUAAAAGAACUCGAUAGCAUAUAUCUAAAGGGAGGGAUUGAAGUGAGCCACACUCUCUCAAUCAACCUCUCAGCAAGAAUGUUAUAUAUACUUAUGGUUCUUAAAUCACCAAUCAUCUAAAAGCUUAAAAGCUCAAGCUAAUGGGUAAGAAUAAAUUAAAUAUAAUAUCUAAUACUUCAUUCACUUGCAGACAUGAAAUAUGAAGAAUAGUCAAGCAAGUAAAUAUUAAUUGGGGAAGAAAUAAUAUUGUAGAGGCUUGAAUCCACGACAUUCUGAAACAACCUAUUUUGAUAUCAUCUUAAAUCACCUAUUCACUUAAAAGCUUAAACUAGUAGGUAAUGAUAAAUUUAAUAUAAUAGCUAACCAUUCUCAUUUUACUCUCCACAGCUAUCAAAGAAAAUGCCCUCUAAUGUAAGGUGGAAAAGCUCCCCUUCCCCUUCCAUCACAACUAAAAGGAAAAUUUCUAUGUUUCUUUUGAAAGUUUAAGAAAUACAGAAUAAGAACUAGUUAUAGGGAUUGUUGAAGUGUUGAUAUAAUUAAAUUAUCACUUCAUUAGUUUAAGUUGUUAGGUAAGUAAGUGAUUUUGAUAUUCAAUCCAAAAACAAAAAUUGAAUUUUAUAUCCAAGAUUGAUGAACCCACCAUCUUUGAGACAUGCAGAGGAUCUUAUUGUCUUAAUAAGAUAAAUGGACUACGUUGAACGCAGAAUUGAUAAUACCAGCAAAAUUAAAACAAAAAAGCAAGUAAAAGAAUAGUGUCAUUCAAAUGUUCAUCAAUAAUCACUAAAACUAAAACUGCUUAACACAAGCAAAUCAAGUACAUUUCACCCAGUUUUCCAAAGAGAAAAAACAGAUCUUAAACUCCAGAAACAAAAGCAGAAGCAGAGAGAGAAAGGGAGAAGAAGAAGAAGAAUACAGACCCAAAUGGAAACAAUGGCAUCCAAAACCCAGCCAAGCUGCCCUGUCACCGAGAGGUAAGUUAAGCCAGCAGCCAAAGCAAUAUUACCCACAAGCCUCGCAGUUGCCCCGUCGUCUCCGCCGUCACCACCGUCACCACCGUCACCACCGCCGCCGUUAAACCCAAAACCCUGGUUAAACCUUGCAACAAUUAGCCGCCCUCUUUUUCCCUUAAACCCUCCAUGCUUUCCAAAAACCCGUUGGUCAACCCAACCACCACCGGGAAACAACAAUCUCCAUCCAUAAAACCUCAAACGAAGCCCACUUGGUUUGCAGAAGACAACCUUGGGAGGGGGAAGAGGAUUGAAUUUGGUGGGUUUGUUGCAGAAAUUGUUGUGUAGUAUGUUGAAGGUAGAAAAUCUGAUGAAACUUGUCAUUUGGGAAUGAAGGGAGUAUUAGGAAGAAGGGUUUGAAAUCUCAGUGGUGAAGAAGAAAUUCAUGGUGGAUUAUUGAUUAUCUGGUGUGAGUGUGAGUGAGAGUGAGAUGCUAUUGAUGGUUCCGUAUACGGCUGCCUCGUUAUCCAGUGGCUUCUGUUGGUCCUUUUACAGAAACAAAAUGAGGUUGGAAUUCAUAGCUAAUACAUUCACACAUUGGCCCUUGAAAAAUCAAAAGUUUAUUUCUUGUCUAUAUAAUAUAACUUUCUAUUCUAAAAUCACCGCGGGGAUAGCUCAGUUGGGAGAGCGUCAGACUGAAGAUCUGAAGGUCGCGUGUUCGAUCCACGCUCACCGCAUUUGCAAUUUUUUUUCAUUUUUCUUUUAUAAAUUUCACUAAAUGUGUUUUGCAUCUUCUCUUUUUUGGUGUACUCUACACGAAGCAUUUGCAUGGGGGCCAUAGCUUAGCUUCUUAUGCUAUCUCUUCAUUUUCUUUAUAUUUUUGGUUUUUCUAAUCCGCCCUCUUGGUUUUCUAACAUUAUUCCAUCUGAGCUGGGAGAGGUGGAUAAUUGUUCUUUUUAUUAGGGUGUGUUUGGAAGAGGAAAAGUGUUAUGAUAAUAUAUGUUUGAGAUUAUAGUUAUUGUUGGUAGUGUUAUGGUAACAUGCAUGUGUUUGGGGGAAUGAGAUAUGAAUGAUAAUGUUAUGAUAGUAUGUGUUUGAGGGAGAUAUUAUGAUAGUAGUAUUGUAAUAAUGUGUUUGGGGGAAGAAUUAUUAUUGUAGUAUUAUUACAAUAUGCGUUUGGGGAAGAGUUAUUGGUGUAGUAUUAUGAUAAUAUACAUUUGGAGGGAGGAUUAUGAGAUUUUUAGAUUUUUUUUAUAAAAUAAUUAAUAUUGAUAUAUGUAUUAAUAAUAAAUCAUAUUGUUUUUUAAAUAAAUAAUAUUAAUAUAUGUAAUUAUAAUAAAACAUAUUAUUUUUUUCAACACGAUUUGCAAUUUUUCGUUAUAGACUCGAGAUUAGUGAAACAUUUGUUUUAUAAAGAGCUUAGCGUGAGAGGUCUUUAAAAUCAAAUUUUUUUCCAUCGUAAAUUAGUUAGAGCACUGAACUAAAAACAAUGCGCUAAAUGGAAUUGGAAAAACCAAGUUCAAUACAUACUAGGGUUAACAUAAUAGUCCAAUAGCCAUAAAACAUAGAUAAAAAUACGAAAAAGCAUUCAAUACGCAUAUUAAAACAACAGACGAGUAAGAGAAUGGAAUAUAUUGCAAACAAGUUAAGGUUUUUCUUUCAGAAUGACACUACAGAAUGAGAACUUCAUUUCGUGGGGUAUAUUGAGGAAUUCUUUCAUGUCUUCGACGUUGUGCAUCAAUAUACGCAAUAAGCGACACCUAUCGAUCAUAGUCAGCUCCGAUAUGGUUUGUAACUGGACAACGACCUCUUGUCGUGUUGUGCUCGCAUCUUGUAACUUGAGGAUGAAUCCGUCUGUAAUGUGAUUUAGUUGUUCAUUGCUCUACUGAAUUGCAUUGCGAACUACCACUACUAUAAAUUUGGUCUUUCUUGACGCACACAAAUUUUGAUUUCUUGAUGGUCAUGGCAAAGAACCAUCAAGAAAAAUAUUUUCUUGAUACAAUGUUUAUCUUGAUGGUCAUGUGCGUCAAGAAAAGUCCUCUUACUUUGUUGAAGAAAUACGAAAAACAUAAAAAAUGUGGAUUCUUGAUUUUCUUGAUGGACAAAGUUUUCUUAGUUUUGUUGAUGGUGCACAAAUGUCAAGAAAACUAUUUCUCGAUGGACAAAAAACAUUAAGGAUAAUAUAUUAGUUGAUUGACAAUACCCAUCGAGUUCGUUAGAUUUUCAUGAUGGACGAGGCCCAUCAAAUGAUGAAUUUUCUUGAUUUGCAAUGACUAUCACCGAAAAAAAUUAAUAUAUUUGUUUUGGAUUUUUUGAUGUGUCUAGGGUUUCUUGAUAGACAAAUACCAUAAGAAGAUAAUGAAAAAAGUCAAUCAAGAAAAAUGAUGUCUUAACAGGUAUUGCCCAUUAAGAAAAAAAAUUUGGAUAAUUAUAAUUGAUGACCAUUUUAUGAAUAAUAAUUAAAGAUAUAACCGCAUUUAAAAAAAAUUGCAAAUAUAGCAAAAUUAUCGGGGAUAGACUUGUAUCGCUGAUAAAUUUGUAUGAUCUAUCAAUGAUAGAUCAAUAUUUACAACAUGGUCUAUCGAUGAUAAACUUCUAUCAUUGAUAGAAUUUGACAAAUUUUGCUGUAUUUGCAAUUCUUUUAAAACGUUGCUAUAUACUUAAUUAUUUUAUAUCUAACGGCUAAAUUUGCAACUAUCCCAAAAAAUUAUAAUUUUGGGUUUAUGAUAAGAUCAUGGGCAAUGUCCAUCAAGAAAAAACUAUUUUUCAAGAAGCACAAAAUUCGGAUCUUACAAGAAGUCUAUCAUUGAUAGAUUGCUUUUAUAAAAGUCUAUCAUUGAUAAACACUUUUUUCUAAUUGAUUGCAAGUAUAACAAAAAUUUCCUCUAACCCUUAUAGCCCAUAAAAAAUGUACAAAAAAAAUAAUUGAAUACAUGAAAUUUCCAUUUUUUAAAGUCAGUCAUUGAUAGACCUGAUAACAAUAUAUCAUUAAUAAACUCAUUUUUAUAGAAAACUACCAUUGAUACCAUACUAUCAUCAUCAAUAUUUUUGUAUCACAAAUAAUGUCACGCCCCCACCCAAAACACGUCCUUCCCUCGCGUUCCCAAGAGUGAACACGACUUGGACAAUUUCAAUGCCUCUAACGAGGUGCCAGAAAGUUCGAAACUUAAACUUAGUUUUUACUAGAAUUUAAACUUCAAUUGAAUUUUUCUUCGCAGUAUGAGAACGCAACACUUAAGAACUUAACACGUUAUUAAUUCCUUAACAAACUCAGUACAAAUACAAGGCUAUGCUAAAAACCUUAAAGCUUCUAAACUUAAACUCCAACUUGUCCAACUCUUUUUUCUUGACACAACACAGUGGGUCGCCUUCACAAUGUGGCCUCCUCAUUUUGCUUACCUGGGAAAGGAAAACUUAAAACGUAAGUGACAUUUUAGGAAAACCUUUGAGUGAAAAACAAGUACGUGUGUAAAUUCAUUUUGCAAGAUUAAGUUCACAAUGCCUCAUCAUGUGCUAAAAACAACGAACACCACAUUAGCCUCUACUUAUCUCUUUCGCCUAGACAUGGAACCAUCCCCCCACACAUAGACUACUAUGAUGGCUCAUUUGAUCAACAACAUCCUUAGAGAUUUACAUGUUCGAUUCUAGUUACUCAGGUGGUCAACUCGAAUGUAGAUCUCUCAACACAUCCAAUAUAAUGACGUUUUCACCAUGUGGACCACUCAAUGCAUGGUUGCCUAUACUCUUAUGUGCACAUAAUAGCUAGCUCAUAAUAGGAAUAAAUAUAAUGAUUUACUCGCAUAGAAACAUUUCAUACAAGCAACAUAAAAUGAAACUCAUUAACUUAGAAACAUACUUUCAAAUGGUCAUGUUUUUCUUAUAAACCAUAAAUAAGAUUAUAACAUGAAUUGUACUAUACAUAACAUAACAUGACUUAGAAAAAGAUAAUCUUUAGAAACUUUUGUUCUUUCUUUGAAAGGGUCACCACAAAAAUUAAAUGUUUCCUCCUAGCUCUAUUCUAAAUUUCCUUCUUCUUCUCCUUUUUGGGUGCAUUUUUUAUAGAGUUUCAAUACUUAGAACUUCGUUAUAACUUCCCUGGAACUCUUAAGAUCCAUUUAUACUAAUUCUAAAUUGGAUUAGUCAUCUUUAAACUCAUCUUAGCUUGUCAGCUCCAACUUAGUGUCUUACAUGUGUAAGUUUAAUAUCUUCUCUAAUUAAGUUUAAUCCUAACCUUAAGAUGUGUUUAGUUAACUAGUUUCGAUUAAUGAGUCGUCUUCCUUCCCUCGCUUGGCUCGUCUUCACCUUGCUCAUCACUUGGUACUUGGUUAAGUGUUCACUACCGCCUAACUUUCUUCUUGUCUAGUUCUUCCUCGCUUAGCUCAAAACACUUACUAAACUUCCAUUCUCAUGUUAUCUUGUCUUAGCACGUCGCCUAUCUUUAUUAUGCAUAUUUCCCUUCCCUGCAUCACCUAGCAAGAACGCAUGCUCCCUUCUCACAACACGUCAUUCUUAUAUGCUUUGUCCCAUAUCAUUCCACCAGCAUACACUCUCUACAUGACUGCCUUUACUCAUUAUGUGCACAUAAAAACUAGUCCAUUGAUAGGAAAAUGACUAAUGGUUUGAACACAAUUUCAUAUUCAUUUUAAACACAUAAAGCAUAACAUAAAUUUUCAUUCAAAAUCUAUUUGAAAACAUUCAUGUAUGAAAUAUUAAUACAAAUCAGUAUAACAUUAAAGCUUUUAAAAUCUAAUAAAAUUUUAGAAAAUUACUCACUGUUUAAAUUCCCUUUCUAAGAAUGUUCAGCCUUCCUUUGCAACGCUUUUGAUCUCUUAGUUUUUCUCUUUGUAAAAUCUCAGAUGACAUCCUUUCUUUUUGUCUUCUUCUCUUAUUUAUAUUAGUCCUAAGUUGGAUUAGUCAUUUUUUAAACUUUUAUAAUUUCAUCAUCUCCUUCUUAACUAAAACCUAAGUCUUUGCAUCCCAUGACUCCUAGAAAAUCACCCCACUGAAGUAAUUAACCUUGAGAACCUCUUUAAUUUUCUACAUGAUUGUUUAACCUGUUACACGAUUGUCUACCUUCUUAUACAAUCGUUCAGUCUCUUAUACAAUCAUUCUAUCUCGUUUACACAAUCUUUAUCCCUUUUUUUCCUUAUAAGAUCGUCUAGCUAUUUUACACAAUCGUUUAACCAAAUUAGGAACGGAUCUCACAAAAUUCCAACAAACAUGAUGAGUGUUUGGUUAAAAAGAUGACAAAUAAAAUCACACUAGAUUUUUUCCAUUUGAAAUCAAGACUGUUUUUGAAAUAAACAAAAAAUAAUAAUAAUGUUGGCUAUACUUGUAAUUUGUUUUAAAAAUUGUUGUAUCACUAACUAGUUUUUCUAAAAAUGCUACUCAUUGCAAUUAUCCUUAAACACAAGGGUAUUUUACACGUCAUUAAAAACUCUCUAUAUAUACUUUUUAAUUAAAUUUAAUUUUAACUUGUUUCUUGAUGUUAUAUUUAAGAAGUAAAAUUUACAUGGAAUAUAACUUUUAAGUACCAAAUAUUAAAAAAUUACUAUAAAUAUUAUACAUAAUAUAGGGUAUAAUAUAGAUGUUCAUGAUUAACAUGUAAUGACCGAGUGUCAUUCUCGUUGCCCACGUGUAUUAGUACAUGUGACUAUAUGUUGUAUGAAAAUACAUGCUAUUUGCACGAAGCUUUUGAAUAAACGUGUUUUGUGGAGUUAAAUUUGUGUUGGUAUGUAGAUUAUGAUGUGACCCUAUAAUUCUCUCUUCAUUGAAUGUCUAUGCUUGAUUUGAGGAAAUAGAGCACGUGAUGCUUGAAGUUAGAGUCUUGGAAGAAAGCUUGUAUCUUCAAAAAAACUUCAAUACUUGAUAGUGGUCGACUUUAGAAGUUAGAGAGUCUUCUGGUUCUUGAGAGAAUUCUCUCCAAAUCUUAUGGAAUAAAAAUUUAUGUCCUCCUAAAUGAAAAGAACUCCUCUAUUUAUAAAGUUGAUCUCCAUCAGCUCGGCUGGUUCAUGGAUCAGACCCACAAACACAACCACAUGAAUUUAGGUCAUAUUUAACAUUAGAGCUAAAUUAAACUCUUUGUUUUUCUUAAUUGAACUCCCAAUUCCAAUUUAUUUGGUGUUAGAUUAAUUGGAAUUGGAAGUUAAUAAAUUUAUUUUGGAAUUUGGUUUGAGAAUGUUAUUAAUUAUAUAGUUUUGGUUAUAUAUAUUUAAUAAGUAGAAAAUUAAUGAUUAUAUAUUAUUGUAUAAUUAUUGGAAAAAGAAGUUAACAUCCCAAAUUUUAAGAAUUUUUUUAUUAAUUAUGUUAAAUUAUUUGAGUAUUAUAUUGGGAAUUGAAGCUAAAAUUGAAUUAUUGGAUUAAGAUAAUUGACGUUGGAAUUUAUGUAUUUUUUUUAAAAUAACUAGUUUAUCGGAGAGGAUUUAGUUAAUUAAAAGAAUUAAGAAUCUGACUUUUGAGAUCCUGUAAGAAAAAUGUUUUUGGUGGAAUUGGAAUUAUGUAUGAUAUUAAUUAUUUGGUUUUGUAAAUAAUUAAUAUGAAAAAAUAAAAGUGAAUUAAUGAUGAAAUAUAAUUAUAAUUGUUGGAAUAUAAGAUAAUUAAUUGCACAUGUUUGAGGUAGGUUUUACCUAUAAAAGUUAAAAGUUUUGAUAAAUUAAUUUUUGGAUUCUUUUCAUCCAAGGUUUAAUUGGCUAAAAUUUUUGGAGAUUUUUCUAUAUAUUGUUGAAUUGGAUAAUUCUUUUGUAAUUUUUGGUUAAUUCUCUCUAAUGUUUAAAUUUGAAAAAUUUUCCAAUCAAACCUGAUUUGGUUUCGACCUUAAAUUUUGGAUAACUUAAAUUGGAAAAAUUGAGAGGUUGGCCGGUAUCUUUUUUAUUAAGUAAGUUAUUAAAAUUUGCCCUUUUUGUUUAGGAUUAAAUCAACCGAGGAAAAUUUACUAUCAACCAAGAAUUAUUUUCAACUAAUCUUAGAUAAAAGAUUAUACUACUGAACUUUCAAACACGAAUUUAAGAACUUGCAUGUAUUUAUUAUUAUGCAUUGAUGGGAGCUAAAAUGUCUAAUAUGAUGUUAUAGUUGAUGAUUGAUAUUGUAUUAUGAUUAUGCAUGUUAUAUGGAUUACAUGAUUAUAGACUUUAUGACUAAUGAUUCAUGUCAUGUUUAUGUUGAUUGUUACAUGCUUUUGAAUUUAUACCCCACAUCUAAUAUGUAUUGUGUUCCUACUUAUGGAGUCACUCGCGUGACUAACACAUGCUUAUACCAAAAUAGAGUUGUUAGUCAUGCGUGGAUGCGGUAAGAAAUUUAUAAACUUUACCACUUUCAAAUUUCCUAUAGUUCUCGUAUAUUUUAUUUUAUUUUAUUUAUUUCCGGGAUUAUUUCUCUACAUGUUGGCUUCUAAAAUUAUUAUGCUAUUUUUAAUUUCUAUGAAACAUUUUAUUUGCAAAAAACCUAGAAAGUACCUCUUUUUUU